UAAUUAUGUGUAUGAAAUUGUGAAAUAUAGUAUGCCAUAAAUUUUUUCGAUAAUUUUUUUUUAUAGUGAAUGGAGUAUAUAUGACACGUAAGUAUAUACUCAUAUUUACAGUCAGUCAGGUCUAUAUAAUACUCCAUUUUAUUUAAUUUUUUUUAUAGAAAUUCCACGUUAUUUAAUAAGUUCUGAUAUAUACUUAUUAUAUUUCAUCAAAUUUGGAUUGUUUUUCAUAUAUUGAAGUUAAUUUAUAGUCUUAAUGUGACUGAUGUUUUUUUAAUUAAAUAGAUCAUUACAUACACUUGUAUAUUUAACAUAAUAUUAGAUAAUAAUGUAUGUAUGCAUAUUUAAACCUUGUAUUUUAAUUUUGUAACAAAUUUUACAUUAUAUGAAAGUACAAAUUUAUAUUAAGAAAAAGGUAGAGAUUAAAUAAUAAGGAUAGAACAAGAAAAGAAAAGAAUAAAUCAAAAAAAAAGAAGAAAACUAAAAAAGGAAAAAAAAAAAGUGAAGAGAAAGGAGGAAAUACAGAGAGAACUUCAAAUAGAUCACCUAGAGGUUAAAUGAUGUACAUCAUAUACUGUAUAAUAUAUCAUAUAUUAUGUCUAUCAUACUUGUAGAUAUACUUUGCAAUAUUUAAAAUAUAUGCAGGUAUUACUUAAAAAGUUAAAAUGAAGAAGAAAGGUGGAGAAAGAUCUGCAAGGAGGAUGUCUAUGAGGUAUUGCUAAUGAUAUUUUAUAUGUUAUAUUAUAUGUGAUAUAUUAUGUGUGUGCUAGUUGAGUUUAAGUCUUAGUAAUCUAACAUCUGUGUAACACAACUGCAAUACAUCCCUAAGUAGGUUCACUGCACGUAAUGUGUUUGCCAUGUCUUUCUGUAUUGCAUGGUUAAUUCUAAGAUACGUCAUGGGUCAUGAUCAUAGCAUGCAAAGUGCUCAUUAUGUACCUCUUUACGCAUGAAACCUAAGUCAUCGUUGAAUCCAAGUUUUCCUACUGGUUGUCCAAGUGCAAGCGAAAUAGUAGGUUUAUCUGGGUGAUCCAAGGUCAAACACAGAGAAUUGUUUCAAGAUAUUAGUUAUAGGGUGUUACUCAUCUGUUAGGUGUUAUUAUGAUUGCGCUGAAGGAAUGUAAAAAUAAAUAUUAUUUAUAAUUGAUGUGAAGGAUAAAAUGAUCAUUAAAAAUCACGAAAUCUUAAUUAAAAGAUAAAUCAAAUUUUAAGACAUUUGUGUAAAAUCAUAUCUAAAGUGAGUGAUUUAUUGGAAAAAAAUUAUUAAUAUAGAACUUUUAUACAAAAGCCCAACCGUCCCAUAAAGUUUUGCUAUUCCAUAAAUAUUAUAAUAAAUCAAGACCGUGGGUCAUGGUUUGGUCAUUGAAUAUUAGUCUAGGCCAUGGGCUCGAUUAUGUUUGGACCUUUAAGUUUUAGGGUUAGGCUGGAGUAAACUGGACUGCCAAUAAUAAUAAGUAGAGAUAACCGUGAGAAUGAGAAAAUAUUAAAUAACAAACUAAAAAAUAGCAAAUCUCCAAAAUAUUAAGAUUUAUAGCAAUAUCGCUGGGUGCAGACUUUUUUUUACUUUUUCAACUGAUUGUACACUGAAUAGAGGACAAUUUUUUUUUUUUUUUAUAGAUAUAAUGUAUUUGUAUAGUUCAAAGAAUGAGACAGAAUAUCACAGGUUUACAGAUACAUUGUAUUUGCAAAUAACAUUUAGUUUUGAAACAAUUUAACUAAAUACGAUAUUUUCAUAAUGAAUAAGAUUAAACCACCAUCCUAAAUAUAUGACUAUAACUUAUACGAGAUUUUCAAAUUUUUAGAAUUUAAAUCAAUUAAUUAACAUUUUAUUUCUAUAAUUCAUAAUACAUUAUUUGAAUUCAAUUUUUUUUUUCAAUUUUGAUUUCAUACCCGUGAAAUAAUGCCUAAGAUAAUUUCAAUUGUUUCUGUUUCAUUAUAUUUUAUAAUACUUAUUAUAUAAUACAAAAUACAUCAAGCAUGUUUUUCCUAUUUCUAAUAACAAUUUGGAGUUAGAUUUUAUAUCAUUCACUAAAAUCGUCAAUUUGAAUUCUUUUAAACGAUCAUAUCCCUAAAACAAUGGCAAACAUAAAUUCAACAUUUUUGAAUUAUUUAAAUUCAAUUUUUUUUUUAAACGAUCAUAUCCCUAAAACAAUGGCAAACAUAAAUUUAACAUUUUUGAAUUAUUUAUAUUCUAAAAUUUUUAUAAAAUUUUGAAUUUAAAUACCUCUAAAUUAUGUAUUGUUAAUAACAAUUUGAAUUUAAAAUUUUAUCAUUCCUAAAAUCGUGCUAAUUAUGAUUAUACUUAUUUAUUAAAAAAUUAUCAUCCUCCAAAAUCAUGUUAUUUGGUUGAUAUCCUUAAAAUAAUGAUAAAUAUAAAUUCAACAUUUUUGGAUUAUUUAUAUUUCAAAAUAUUUAUAAAAAUAAAUAAAUUUAAAUACCUCAUAUUAUUAUAACAAUUUGAAAUUGGAAUUUUAUUAGGUUUGAUAUUUUUUAUAACAACCAUUUAGUUUGAUAUAGUAAAAUAUUUUAUUAGUUUUAAUUUGUUUUGAUAAUCUCCAAAUUUAUUUAUUUAUUAACAAAAUAUUAAUAAAUUCAAUUUAAUCCAAAAUCUUUGAUUGAGCUCCUUAAAAAUAUUUGUAUGAUUAGUAAAUAAAUAUAUUUGAUUAAGCUACUUGAAAAUGUUUGUUUGGAAAAUAUAAGGAAAAUAUAAAUUUGAAUAUAUUCAAUUUGUUCCAUUUGUUUUAUUUUUUUCUUAAUUUAACAAAAUCGAAUUAUUGGUUAAAUUGAUUAGGUUUGAUAGCCUUGAUUUUCUAUAGAGAUAGAGUGUAUUUAUACAUACUACAUGACAAUAUUGUUCAUUCUAGAUUAGUUCCACAAUAUUUUAUAUAAUGUAUAUCAUAUGUUGUUGACACAAUUACAUUGUAAAUUAUGCUUCUAAAUAGGGUGAUAAACUAUCGGUUUUAUAUCAUGAUCAUAUUCAAAUAUGAAUAUUUAUUUGCUCAUAUAAACAUAUAUUUUUUCAUAAAAAAAGCUUAACAUUAAGAUGGAUUUGUUACAAAACCAACAAUAAGAACGAUUUUCUAAAUAGUGUCAUUGAAUCAUAAUGAUGACGGUUUAACUAACCAAACUUUAUAAUAAUCAAUAAAAUUAAGAUUUUCCAAACAAGGUAUAUGCAACAGAUUUGGAACACACAAAAAAGGUAACAAAUUUGGUCAUCAAGAUAUAAUAUCAUUCCCCUAGGUACAAGAUAAUCCAUAUAUUCCAAAUGCAGUAUAUUCGAAUAGCUCAAAAAAUGAGACAAGAUAUUGGAAAUAGCACGGAGACAAUGUAUUUUGCAAACAACAUUCAAAUUUGGUAAAUUUUUACUAAAUCUGCUAUUUUGUUAAUGACAUUUUUGCAAUUAUUUCAAUCUUCUUCUUUUAGGUUUUAUUUGAGAAAAGAAAAGAAGGAGAUUGAGAGAAGGGGACAGUCGACGCAAGAGACAAACAUAGUAAAAGAGAAAAAGGUUUUCUUGCAAACAAGAGAGGAGAAAAGUGCGGUCGACGAAGAGUAGGACGUCGAAGCUUCAACAUCACCAACAACAGGCUUUUUGGAGCAAUGUUUAACGACGUCCGACAUUGAUUGUGAGUUUGAUGCGGGUUCUGACAUUCCGACAUUUGUUGGAGUUGGAUUUAGUCGACUUUCAUAGGUUUACCCAAGAGCAGAAUGAUAUAAGGGUUGAGCGACGUUUUCGGUGAGUUUCAUCGUGGGUACGAUGUUCUUUUUUUUUAGUCAUGAUUCUUCUUGGGAUUUGUAGUAGGUUGUUCGACGUGUGAGUCUCUUCGGUCAAAGGAGCUGACAAGAAUAAAAUUCCUUGAUUUGUGCCAAAUGUAUGAAAACUUUAGAGGGUUUGAAAAGAGACGAAGCUGGAACUCCAAUCAUUUUUGCAUGAACGUUUGAAUGCCUGAACGUGCACAAUUUAAAGAAAAUAUGAAAUAGUUGCAUAAAUUAUGUGGAGCUUUGAUAAUGAUAGGUAUUAAUUGUAUGUUGGUAGUUUGAUUUUAAUUAUAGGGAUAUUUAUAGUUUAGUAGGAAAAUUUGAAACAUUGUUACAACAAAUUUUUUCUAUAUUUUGCAAUCAUGCUAUUUUAUCAAUUUAAAUAAAAAAAAAUUCAUUUAUUCAAAUAAACUUUCUGUUUUGCUAUUCUUCUUAUCAGGCUUAAUAAGUACAAAAGUCAAAAACUUAAAAAUGAAACAAGAACUAUUAUUUGGGUUGCGUUGUAACUAAUUAAAAGUAUUAUUGGACCUUCAAGAAGAAGUCCAAAAGUCAUGAUGUUAUUGGAAAGUCGGGGUUAAGUAACUAAACAAAUUUUAAUUGUUUUUUCUAUUGUUAAUAAUUUUAUUUUGAUAAAAAAAAAAAACCUUUUCUUUUCUUUGGAUGUUCAAGUACAUACAUGUAUGUCUGUUGAGUUAAAUAUUGAACUACCAAAACUUUGUAACUUAGUUAUUUCACCUCUUCUGUGUCUUUUGCUGCGACAGAAAGAAAGAAGAAGAAGAAGAGAGAGAGAGUAACAAACAUUACCAUCUUCCUUCCGAUCCCCACAACGAGUACAAUCAUAGAGGGAACAAAGUCAUCGAGAACCCAACCCAUGCAUGAGGCCCAAAGCAUAGUGGCCGAUGAAGACACGUAGUGUAGUCUCCGAAGCUUAAACUAACCAUUUCAAUUUAAUGUAAUUGUAACCACUGAUACUUAUUAUCUUUAUUUAAUUUUUAAAAUUUAGAAUAUGGAUACAGUAAUAAAAACAUAAAAAUUGUGUUUUACUGAUUUACACUAUUUGAAAUCAUAUGAUCCAACAAAAUAAUGAAACAAAAUUUGAAUAAAAAUCUAGUCGAUCACCUUAGUUCCAACUAUUGAAUAAAUUUUUUAUUAUUAUUCACAUGUUUUUUUUUUUUUGUUAAAUUUGUUAAUACUUUAGUUUUUUAUGGCUAUAUAUGUAAUGGUAACUACCGGUUGAUUUUUACUUUAUGAAAAAUAGAAUCAUGUUGAUCACCGUUGAUCGAUGUUCAUUAUGCACAAUUAUUCUUUUUUUUUUGUCUUCCUUAUAUGUAUAUUUGAAGCUAGAGAUUAUUACCAAUGAGGUAUCGAUAUAAUAUCACGUCUCCCAUCAAGCCAAAGUUCAUGUGUUAUUAUUAAGCUAAGAAAUACUUUUAUGAUUUAUUUAUUUAUUUAUCAUUUCUUUGAGACUAUAUAUUUGUCAACUUGAGUUCAAAUAUUAGUUGAUCAGUGUACAACAAUUUAGUUUCAUGCUUAUGUUUCUAAUAACAAGGGAAAUCCAAUAUGCAGGCAGAACUAUAUUGUAAUGAUACAACAACAAUCUUCCCUUUUACAUCUAAAAAACCAUUCAUAUGGCAUAACAUUUGUUAUCUAUUUUUCAUAACACUAAAUGUCAUCUCAAUAUGUUAGCAUAAUUAUUUUACAUUUACAUAAUAGAUUAACCUCAUGGUUUUUCGUGCCAUAUUGUCAAGAUUAAAGUACAUAUUUCAUUGAAGAAUUGAUGAUGGCUAUAAGAUGAUUAUUGUCAUCCUCAACCAAAAUUUCAAAUGUCCUUGGUUGUAACUUUCUCUUGAUGGGAUACAAGAAUGAUUGAAUGCGUGUUGUUUUCGUAUGUUGGGGACCAACCUAAGGUCUCUUUAUAUAUUUAAUUCAAUUAGGUUCCUAUUAAGACCUAAUCAAUGUAGGAAUCAGCUUCUACUCACUUAGUUCAUAAUCAAUUAGGAAUCUAGGGUCUUAAUCAAGUAGAUCACGUAAUAGGCCAAAUCUAAUAAAGCAUCCUAAUAAAAUAAGUGAAAUUGCAUCAAAUGACAAAAACAUUUAAGAAAAAACAGCUCAUGACACCUAAUUUUUGCAUACGGUGAAUAUGACAUAAUUAGUGAUAUUAGGUGGUAAUCAUACGGCUAUCAAAAGGCUAUCAAAGGGCUAUCAGAAAACUAUCAGACGGUAAUCACAGGGUUAUCGACUUUUAAAUUUGCUACUUUUGCAAUUUAAAAAAUGUAGUGACAUGUGCCCUAUAUUAUCAUAAUUUUUUUGUUGUUUUUGCAAGGGUCCCAUAAAAUAACUUGAUGUGAUAAAUUAUUGAUCUACAUACAUAGUUGAAAGAAGUUUUCGAGGAGGGGUUGUAAGGCCCUGAUCCUAAAAAGGGAGUCAUGUGGUGAAGGACCAUUGCUGAAAGGUUGUUGCAGAUAAGUGUUGAGAUGUCCUAAAAGAAAUGAUGUGAAAAGGGAGUUGGCGAUGGAAAGAUAGGCGUAAGCCAAAAGUUCUAUCACGUGAAGGUAGGCAACACAAUAAGGGUGACUGGCGAGGAAGGUGUUGAGUUAGGUGCCAAGAGGAGGCAUUUGGCAAGAUACUAUGAGAAGAAGUAUCUAUGCCCAAGAGAUUAAGGCGAAGAAGUAAAUGUAUUGUCAAAGUAACAUGACAACUAGCUGUGAGAAAGGAAAGGAUAGUCAGAUAAUUAAGAGUUUGGCUUCCCAAAGAGAUAAGGUGUGUGUCUCAAGGAAAAGUCAAAUUGUCGCUGACAGUUAUUAGAUUAUGUGUCAAGCUUGGCUUGGUGGCAUUCUGCGGCGUGUUAGUAAAGUGACACGUGUAAAGCAUGGAAGUGACCUAUGGAGGUGAAAGGCCUCUAUAAAUAGGAUCGAAAGCCAAAAGAAAAAGAAAGUUUUUUGGACAAGAGACUCUAGAUUUUCUGAUGAAAGUGAGAGGAGAAGGUUUUGAAUGCUAAACAGACGGUUCCAUCAACUGUUAAACGAAGGAAGAAAGUCGAAAGUCAAGAAGGAAGAAGUUGAGGCUAAGUAUCUUAUGUGAGUAACCAAAAUGGAUUACAUGUUUUAUGUGUGAGUGAUACAUUGUUUAUACCGUUUUACAGUAUUGUUGACAGUAAUAAAUGUGAUUUAUAAACGUUCUAAUGGUCGAUUAUCUUACUGUGAAUAAUCAAACACGUUUUAUAUGCUUUAUUGUUGUAAGUAAUAAGAUCUGUUUUAUAAACAAUUUUGAAUGAAGAAUCGAAUAUCGAAUGUAACUUCUAAACUUUGACUAUCAUUUCACAAAAGAAAUGUUCUAUAAACGUGAUAUUUUGUGUAUUCUUUCCCCUGUGCUUGUAUUUAUAAGAUGCUUUACUAAUCUGUGAUAAUCUGUACUAUUAGUAAGUAGGAAGUCGUUGCUUCCUUACUAUAUUCGAGUGGUUUUGGAAUGUGGUGUAUUCAUCAGAUGAGACGCUGCUUGAGCAUGACUCCCAAGUCUGAGAAUGAUUGAAUGUGGCAGGACGCUGGUGGAAAUCUCAGGUCUAUGUUUUCUAUCCUUUCUCGCCCUUCUUUGUUUCCUAUGAUUUCUUCAUAUACUGAGUGAAGAAAGCAUGCCAACUGACUUCCUAGCAGCCGAACUUGUAACUUUUUUAGAAUUUCUGUAUGGGAGAUACUCUCAGACAUGAUAGUCAAGAGAUUAAGUGACUUGAAUGAAGGAUAGAAAGAUAACGUUAGUGCAUAUGAGAAAUACUUUUGUAAUGAUGAUAACUAAUGAAAUUGAUAUUUAGGGCUGAGUGAAGAAUUGUGUUUGGCUAUUGGUUGCAAACUGUGUGUGAUGGACUUGGUGGUUUUGCAUUUGUAUGGUGCAUAUGUCACGAACACAGAGAAUUGUUUCCAGAUAUUAGUUCUAGGGUUUACUUAUCAUUUAGGCAUUAUAACAAUUAAUUUAAAAGAAUAUAAAAAGAACUAAAACUACUUACUUACACCUAGAGACUUAUGCACAGGAGAAUAAAUUAUGGCAAGAUGGAAGAUUGAGCAAACUAACUUGUAUGCAAGAGAAAGGUGAAUGAAGGUCUAUGCAUUAUUAGACGAUUAAGCAAUGCGAGAGCCUUGAUGUGAUAUAACUUGCAUAAUCAGUCAAUGAUUAAGGAGACCUUCUCUCGAAGUAUUUAGAACGCUACACUUCCUCACCUUUCGGGAUGCAAAUGACUACGGUUGAUUACGCAAGAUGUAUCUAGAAAAUUUCACUUAUAAUACUUAUACAAUGGAUCAUGGGUGAGCUAUUCUCACCAUGUAUUUAGUAUUCUUCCAUGGUUGGUUGAAUGAAGGUUACUAUUGUGGCAGGUACUAAAUAUGUGUGAGCUUAGUUAGCAAAAUGAUUCCUUAACCAUGUGUGAGCUAUUCUCGAUAGUAUAUAUCGACGUUCUGCUAUGGUAGGCCAUUAUAUGGUACACGCUUAUUGGCAAAUGCCUAUGAUUUACAGUAAAAUUGUGAUAUUAACAUUUUAAUUAUUAUUUCAUUAUCGAUGCCUUAUUUAAACAUUUUUUAGAGUAUGUUUACGAGUUUUAGUUUUAAAAAAUUUACCACUCAAUGAGUUUUAGCUCAUAUUUUCAAUGUUUUCUCCCCCUCUCCUCCAGGUCAAGGUCCAAGCAUUCAUUGAACUUCCCGUCAUUGAUUGUAAAAUCUCAUUUUUUGUAUGUAUAUAUACCUAAGUCUUGUAUUGCAUCAUGGAUGGUUAGCAGUAGCAAGAUCAAUCACCUUAAGGACUUGCAUUUUGGGAGAUCCCUUGUUAGACUAUACUUUUGUAACUAAUUCCUAGUUGAUUGUAUAAACUCUAUUUGAGACUCUGGAUUUGUAGGAUGAGUGUGUGGUGAGACACAUUUAAUAUUAUUUAGUAGAGAUGAUGCCAAAUUUUUUUUUAUAGAAUUUUAUAAAACAUGGGCGUUUGACUUUUAGGUUGAAAAAUGUUCAUUCAAAAAGUGUUUUCAUGCCACGAUCUAGGUUAAUUAGUAGAAAAAAUCUAAAAUGAGGUGUGAUAGAUCUUGUUAAUUAAGGUAACUGAUCAUGUUAGUUAUGAUAAGCGAUCGCGUAGUUCAAUGUAAAUAAUCGUGAAAAACUUCAAAUCUAAUGUUCGUGUUGAUAAUUUAAAACAAUAUUUAAACGAUCUUGAUAUUUUCGAAUAUGAGGAAGAUGAAGAAGAAUAUUGAAACAAUCGUGAAAUAACUUCAAAGUAUUUUACUGAUGAAAAUGAAAUAAGAGAUUAAAAAAAAAAUUGUGUAAAAAUAGAAGGAAAAAAAUAUGGAAGAGGAGAUUAAGAAAGCGCAAAAAAGAAUAAUAAUAAUAAUAAAACCUUAUAAAUGGUUUUGUAAUAUUCAAGGGCAAAUCUAGAAUUUAUGAAUUAUGAAAAUACAACUGUGGAGGCUUUUAGUUUUUGUUACAAAGGCUGUAAAUAUUUUUGGGUUUUGUUACAUUUAUAUAAAUUAGGGGUCUUUUUAAAAAUUAAACAAAGCGCCAAAAUAUUUAUGAUAAUAGGGCUCAAGUCACUACAUUUUCUAAAUUACAAAAGUAGCAAAUUUUAAAAACCGAUAACCCUAUGAUUAUCGUCUUUUAGCCUAUGAUUACCAUCUGAUAGUCGUUUGAUAUAACUAAUUUUUCCAUAUUCAUAAUAUGCAAAAAACAGGUGUCAUGAACGAUUUUUUUCUAAAUGUUUUUUUUUUUUUUUUUUUGGUCAUUUGAUGCAAUUUCUCAAACAUUGACAAUGUAUAGAACAAUUUCAAAAAUAGAAAAAAGCACACAAAGGAAAAUACCAAAAAAUGUCCUGUGAUUAAUUUUCAUUCAGCGCGUAAUAUAUAAUUGGGAAACGAUCGUUUAGAUUUGGUCAUUCUUUCCUACACGAUUAUGUAGAUUUGAUCGUCAUUUAAAUUUGGAGUCAAAUCUUUUUUUCAAGAUUUUUUAGUACACGAUCGUUUAAAUUUAGGUAGCAAAAUCUCAACGAUUUAAAUUGGUACACGUCGUUUAUGUUUGAAACAUAACCGUUUAUAUUUGAAAAAUAAUUGUUUAUAUUCGAAAUUAAGAUUUGAUCGUUUAAAUUUGGCAGCCCAAAUCUAAAUGAUUUUUUAAAGACUUUUUGUACACGAUUGCUUAGAUUUGACUAUUUUGAUACACAAUCGUUUCGAUUUGGCUAUCCAAUAUCCUAACGAUUUUUUUUCUUCAGAAUCUUUUAUAUUUGGAAUAACCAAAUAAUUGCUUUUUAAAAAAUAGAUAUUUUAUAUUUGGUACACGAUCUUGAACCAGAUAAGAAUUUGAACAAAAAAAUAAAAGAAAAAUUGCAUAAGAAAAAGAGAAAAAGAGGAUGAAAAAAAUUGAAUAAAAGGAAGGGAAGAAAGACAAUGAAAAUGAAGGCAAACCUAGAAUAUUUUUAAUAAAAUGGUUAGUUUUAUUGGUUUUUUCAUUUUGAUACACAAGCCGUAAAUAUUUUAUUGAUUUUUUAUAUUUAUAAAAAUUAACCUAUAAAUUAUCCUAUUAAAAAUUAAAAUAAUAUAGAAAUAUUGUAAAUUCGAAAACAAAAUAAAAUAUAAAUAUUAGAGAAUUAUUUUUUAGAUAAAAGAAUUAAUAAAGAAAAAGUAAAAAUAAAGAAAUCAGUGCAAAAAAUUAUAUUAAAAAGUAAAAUGUAAAAAAAAAAUUAAUUUAAGUGAUCUGAAAACAUGACAUGCAAGAGGAAGAGUACAAUUAUCAGGGGGUGUCUCAUAUGAAUAAACCAAAAGUUCAUAUUCAUUACUUGAGCAAAUGGUAAAAUAAAAAUAGAAAUGGGAAACAGGCAAAACAUUUUUUAUUUUUUGUCAUUUCUCAAUUUUAUCCUAUUUUUUAAGAAUGUUUCUCAAACAAGAAAUGAGAACAAUUAUAUCAAAUAAAGUUUUGUUUUCAAGAAAGCAAAAAACAAUAAUGUAAUUAUGAAACGAGCUCAAAGUGUUUGAAAUAUAUAUGUGUCACGAUAGAUGAAGUUUUCAAACGGAAAAACUUACCUCUUGCGUAAACAACAAAACUCUAGAGUAUUUGUUCAAGUUAACAAUACUUGCAUUUAACCUCAGGCCAUUAAAAAAAUAGGUCUUUUUAUUAGAGCAACUUACACUUUAAAUAUUUCAACAAUGAUAUGAUUUUAUCCACUUUGAACAUACACUCUCGUAGCGUUGCUUUUGGUGCUACUCUAAAAUGGUUCAUACCAAGGUAGAUAGUUGGUCUCACGUAUAUAUUUAUGAUUAUCCUCUUAUCUAAUCGAUGUGAGACUUAGGUCUCGUUUCAAACCCUUUAAACCAAACACAAAUUAAAGUUUAAAAAGUUGAAAAAACAUUAAAUUAAGAGUGAAGCAACAAGAUGUAGUGUGAACCUGGCAGAGACAUUAGAAGGCUUGAAUGGAAGGCUACAAGGGACUCAAACCCUCAAUUGAGUAAGAAGCAAAUUACUUGAAAUUCCAUUAAAAAAAAAAACAUCCAACAAAAGACCCAAAUGGGAUGUUUGAUCUAAGAAAUUAGGAAUCAACAAAGUAGAGUAUGAAAUUACUUUUUGUUUCAUAUCUUAAGAAGUUUGCAAGUGUAACUGCUGAAAAAUAUAAAUAUUUUGUAACUUAUUAACUUUUCACCUCGUAAGUUUUAUAGCUCUUCCUUGCCAGAAAUUCCUUCUUGGGUUAACUUCUUCCCCUUCUUGUUAUUGCAUAAAUGGAUAUUGGAAUACAUUUACAACUGUGUGAACAGUUGGACAGAAGUUCUCUCACAAGACUAUUUGACAGAGAGAUAGAAGAGAUAGAAGUGUAGUUUUUUUUUUUAAAAAAAUACAAAAUCUAGAUAUUUUAACAAGACACAAAUUAGAAUUUAAAAAUCGUAAAGAAAUAAAAAAAUAAAAAAAGAAUCUUAGAUUGAAACUUGAGAAGAUAAAAGAGAAUAAAAUAGAAAACAAGAUUAAUUUAAAAAUGGAAGGCAGAAAUCAAAAUGUAAAAAAAUAUAUUAAUAGAAUACGUACCUGUAGUGGUGUGGCUUUACAUUUAGGACAUGUGUUGGUCUACUAAUUAGAAUUUAGGUACGUAAUCCAAAUUCUCUAUGUUUUAGAUUAAGAGAUAUUAAUCUAAGGAAGACACGCAACCCAUGUUCCAUUCCUGCAUAUUACUGUUCUUCUACUAAAAAAUAUUAGGAAGAAAGAAAAGAAAAUAGAACUUGAAUCUCUGUGAUUAAAAAAAGUACUAAAUGAAAAAUCUGAAAAAGCUCUCACAAAAUAAUUCGAACACAGAAAAAACGCAGUAAAUGCAAAUUUGAACACACCACUUAUUACCCAAAAAAGCUUCCUUUCUUUUUUCCUUCGCAGGACACAGGACAAAAAACUUUCACUUUUUUAAAUAUAUAUAUGCAAUAAUUAUGAAAAAUAAAAUGCGUACUAUCUCUCUCUCUUUCUUUUAUAUUAAUCUGCCAAAAUAAAAUUAUAUAUAUGAAUAAAUAAAAAAGACACGAUUCUGUGAUUGCAAAUCGCAUCUCUGCCAUUCUUCCUCUUCUUUCUCCUCUGCCAAAUUUCUCCAAAAGUAGUAUUUCCGAUUUUCUACUUUUCUGUACAAAUCAAAAACCCUCCGUUCUUUUUCCCUUUCAUUCAUAAUAACAUACUCUAAAUUAACAGUCCCAAAAUACCCUCUGUUUUUCACAAUCACAAAAGAAAAAAGAAAAAAAGAAAGAAAAAGAAAACCAUGGGUAUUUUUGGGAAAAAGAAGUAACAAAAAACACAAAAACUAUUGUACUAGUUAUGCAGAGGAUCGGGGCAGCUGGGGACCGUUCGUUUGUUCUCUUCAAACUCUCUUGAACCCAAACUUCUUCUUCCAUUGAAAUACUUCUCCUUGCUUCCGACAGCCCCCAUAUCUGGAUUUUCCCUUUCCCGUAACGAUCUAGCGAUAGUUCUGGCUGCUUGGUUGCCGACCACCACCCAGAUGAAGAAAAACAUUAUGAAGAAAUAUGAGAGAAGUCGCCGCCGACGUGAGGGAGUGGCGCUGCCGUCGUACAUUGCAGGAAAACCCACCAUUGGGAUUGUUUCCUUUUGGAAUGGUUAAUGGGAUUUGGAUUUGAUGAUAAUUUAUAAAUUAUGGAUGGAGCUUGAUUCAGAAAGUUAUAUGGGCAAUUGAGUUGACGAUUAACGGCUAGAGAGAGAAAGAUGGAGACAGAAAGAGAGAGAGAGUGUUUGAGGGGGGGAGUAGUGACCCCAUGUGAAGGCAGUAAAAUAGAAAUAUAAGGGACCCUCUCUACACCUAUGUUCUUUUCUUAAAAAAAAAAAAUCAACUACAUUAUUUACAAUUUUGUAUUAAUUAAAAUUUUUAACCAACAAGCUGUUUAGACAUUUGUACUGAUCUUGACUUUAUGUUCUAUGUAAAUAAAUAAAGACUCAUAAUUUCACAAAUUUAACCCACAUCUAACCAAAUCUAUAGACUUUACUUGCAUUGCAUUUAAAAACAUACGAUACGUACAUUUACUUUAAUAUCGUUAAUUUUGUUAAUCAAUAUUUGAACAUGAAUGUAUAAGAAUGAAAGUAUUGAUGAUUCAUAUAAUAUAUAUAGUUCUAUGUCCAUGUAGAAUAUAUGGUUUAAGAAAUUUCCUAUUUUUUCUUAAUUAUUGUUGAGUUGGUUUUUGGAUGAAUGUUCAAUUAGAUGAAUGUUCCUUUGUUUGAAAUAUUGUCUUUUAUUGAGGAGAUUGAGGGUUUUGCCUCUAUUGCCUAAGGUGAACUAUUUUGCCAAAUGUUUGAAAGUGUGUAACGGUGUUCUGCCCAUUACCUUGGUCACGAGGUAAUUGUACAAUGAAAAUUUUUGUACUCUUUUGUGAAUUAAGUUAUUAUUGCUUGGAAGAAGCUAUCGGUUAGUGAUAGGAUUCUUGUUUGUUUCCAUUGGAUUUCCUCUAUAAUUUUAGAGUUUAUAUCAACAAAACCUAUGAAGUUUUAGAACGUACACUAAUAUUUUUUUUAUUAAUUUAAUUUAACCAACUCGUUUGGAAUUUUCACAGAUUCCUAUUGUCACUCAUUCAUUCUAAUUUUAUAAUCACAUCUUCAUGUUAUGCUUCUUCUUUUAACUUUUUCUUUUUAAUCAAACUAUUCUAUAUAUUGUUUACAACAAGGGAUAACAUGCGUUCAAUAAUUAUGGAGUUCGAGUUCGACUGAAUGCGAUAUCAAACACCCUUUUCAUUUAUCAAUUUUUCUUAUAAAAUUUAGAUUCAAAUCUAUUCUAUGUUUGAAUUGUAAAACUGAAAAUAUAUAUGUUUUGAUGACAAAUUUUCAUCUUAAAAAAUGGUUGUUGUUGGCUUCAUGAUCUUGAAUGAUUGCAGAAACUAUUUUUUUCUUCUCCUUUUCCUGUAUUAUCUCAAUAAUCAUUUUGGAGUACACCUCAGGCUCAUGUUGUUAACUUGACAAAAACAGUUAAUUUGAAAAUGAUUCACUAAUUAACUUUUAAAAAUAAGGAAAGGAAGAUCAUUUUAAGAAAGAUAAAAAUUUUACAUUUUUUAAUAGGGUUUCAACUUUUAAAUAUAUAUAUAUAUAUAUAUAUAUAUAUAUAUUUAUUUAUUUUAUGUACAUCAAAACUAUUGUUUGUAGUAGACCACUAGAUUCUCAAUUCAAUGUAUAGUAGGUCUCUAUCGUCAAUAAUCUCAUCAAACUCUUCAAUGUCAACAUCAUUUUAAACAAUCUAGAAUUAGUUCCUAUUAUAUAUAUAAUCUAUAUAAUAUUUGAAGGGCGGUUUGGAUUAGGGAUAGUAUUCUAUGAGUUUGAAUAUCCAAUGUCUAAGAUUUAAAUGUAUGAAUUUUAAACGUUUAAAAUUUAAAUGUAUGACUUUAAAUUUUUUUUAGAAUAAUUCAUAUAUGUGUUUAAAUAAAUAAUUUUAGAAAUUGAAUACAAAAUUUGAUUUAUAUUUACUCCAAAUUGGUCUUCUUUGAUGUCCAUUAAGUAAGAAGAUAUGAAGAAAGACGGACGAUGUUGUUGUAGUGGUUGAAUUGUAUAUGAACAUCAAAAUUAAACAACUAUUUAAUUUAAAUUUAAGAACCAAUAUGUAGUCAUGAAUUAAAACAUUAUUUAAUGUAUUGGUAUAUUAAUUAAAUGUUUUAUCUGUCAAAGUAUAAAUAAAUCAAUAUUUUUUUAAACUAAACAUUAAAAAAAUUAUUUAAUGUUUAUUACUAAAAUUAAUUAGUUAAAUAUUAACUUAGAGAAAUAUAAAAAUGACAAAUUUAACCAAAUAUUUAUAAAAUAUAUCAAAACUUCAAAUUCUAUCAAUGGUCGAUGUUGAUACACUCAUAUGCUUCUACCAAUAACAUUGAUAGACAAUAAUAGAAGUUCAUGAGUGUCUAUCAUUGAUAAAAUUUAAAACUUUACAAUAUUUUGUAAAUUAUUUUAAAAAGAGGUACAACUAAAAUAUGAAAAGCGAGAAAAUAUAAUAUUAAAGUAAAAUAAUAUAAUAUAUAAUAAAUAAAUAAAUAAGAAGAUAAAUAAAUAAGAAAAUUAGAAAAAUCUUAAAAUUGUUAAGUUUCUCCACUUUCUCCAAUUUCUUAGAAUUACUCUCCAAUGUGUGUACUUCUUACAGCUCCACCAAAUGUCACUAUUUAUAGGCAACUUGGCAAAUAUUAUGUGACAGUACAUGGCCACUAAGAGAACACGUUUACUUGGCACAUGGUGGACACUAAUCUUACUAAUGGAUAAUGGGCAUCUAUAUUUUAUAUUAUUAUUUAUAAUACACCUUCUUAGAUGCUCAUUACAUAUAUGAAAUAUGCCUCGUUAAAACCUUACCAGGAAACCCAAUAACAAAAAAUUCCAGUGAAGAAAAAAACGUACAUAUUUCAUAUAUACUUAUAAAAAUAAAAUUUACUCUCGCUCAUGGUAACAUCACUUGAGAUCUCUGAGUCGCCGCAUUUCAAUGUUGUGCACCAAUUUUUUUUAAAUUUGUGAUAGGUAGUGAUUUUGUAAAUAAGUCUGUCAGGUUAUCCUUUGAAUAAAUUGGUUGUACAUGUGAUGUUGUCAUUUUCUUCAAGAUCAUGAGUAUAGAAAAGUUUUGGUGAGAUGGACUUUGUUCUAUCACCUUUAAUAUAACCUUCUUUUAUUUGAGUUAUACAUAUCAUAUUGUCUUCAUAUAAUGUUGUUAGAAGGAGAUUACUAGAAGACAAACCACAUGAUUCUUGAAUGUGUUGAGUCAUCGAUCUUAACCAUAUACAUUCUCGGCUAGCCUAAUGAAUUACAAGAAUUUCGACAUGAUUUGAGGAGGUGGUUAUUAUGGUUUGUUUUACUAAUCACCAAGAUAUAGUAGUUUUUCUGCAUGUGAAUAGAUAACAUGACUAACAUGUCUAAGAUUUAAUUUUGUGUAGAUCAGGUAAAUAUUUAGAAUCAUCAAAACCAUCUAUGUUAAGAUUUGAUUUAUUUGAAUAAAAUAAUCUUAUAUCAAUUAUUCCUUAGAGAUAACAAAAUUUAUGUUUAAUUUCAUUCCAACAUCUUUUUGUUGGAGAGGAACUGUAUCUAGCUAAUAAAUUUACUAAACUAUGUAAUGUAUGAUAUUGCAUUAUUAGUAAGAUACAUAAAUACAUCAAUUGUGCUAAGAUAUGGUACUUUUGGAACAAAUAGUUCUUCAUUAUCAUCUCGAGGUCGAAAUAUAUCUUUCUUCAAAUCUAGUGAACGUACUUGCAUUGGAAUAUUCAAUGGAUGUGAUUUAUCCAUAAAAUCUUUCAAAAGCUUUUUAUGUAUAAGUUGAUUGGUGAACAAAUAUUCUAUCUGUUAGAUGCUUAAUUUGAAAACCAAGGGAAAAUUUUGUUUUUCUGAGAUCUUUCAUCUCGAAUUCUUUCUUAAGAUAUUCUAUUUUCUUUUAAAGCUCUUCAGAAGUUUCAAUUAUAUUUAAAUCAUCAACAUAUACAACUAUUUUAAGUAAAGUCGGGCUAUAUUUUCUUUAUAAAAGUGUAUGGACAUAUUGAAUUAUUUUGAUAUCCUUCUUUCAACAAAUAUUCAUUUAGGCAAUUUUUUCACAUCCAUUCUAAUUGUUUCAAUCCUUAUAAUGAUCUUUGUAACUUUAUUGAAUAUAGUUUCCGAGAACCUGGUUUAUAUGUUUCAGGUAUUUAAAACCUUAUGGAAUUUUCAUAUAAAUAUCAUUAUCAAGAUAUCCAUAUUAAUAGGCUGUGACUAUAUCUCUAAGAUGUGUAUCCAGAUUUUCAUACUCACGCAGGCCAAUUAAAAUUUUUAAUGUGAUUGUAUCCACCACUGGAGAAUAUAUCUUCUUAUAAUCAGUACUAGAUCUUUGUGAAAAACCUUGUGCAACUAAUCUUGCUUUAUAUUUUGUGAUCUCAUUAUUUUCAUUUAUUUUUUUCACAGAUACCCAUUUAUAUCCUACAGGUUUGACACCUUCUGGUGUUUGGACCACUGGUCCAAAAACCUGACGUUUUGAAAGUGAAUUUAGUUAUGGAUUAAUUCCUUCUUUCCACAAAGACCAAUAUUUUCUCUGUCGACAUUCUUCAACUGAUUUUGGUUCAUAAUCCUCAUUUUCAAAUAUAAUAUCAAGAGCAACAUUAUAGGCAAAAAUGUUGUCAACAACUAUAUUAGUUUGGUUUCAUUUUUUUCUUAUUAUGACAUAGCUUAUCGAGAUCUCGUUAUUAUCCUCAGUUGUUUUAUUUUCUUCGACAUUUCUGUUAGAAGUCAAAAUAUGGAUUUCUUUUAGAAGAUCCACAUCUUUAAUCGUGUUAUUGACUCAGUUUCUUUUUCGAGGAUUUUUAUCUUUGGAAUCUACUGGUCUACCACACUUCUGGUAUGUUACAGAUUCAUUAAUAACAACAUGUUGUGUUUGUAUCAAUCUUUGUUUGGACAUUUGUAGCUACUAUAUGUGAUUUAGUUACCUUUUUUGCAUCUACAAAUGCAUCUGGUAACUGAUUUUUUAUAUUUUGCAAAUGAAUUAUUUUUUUUAAUUUCAAAUUCACAUUGGUCUAUACGAGAAUCUAAAUGAGACAAUAGUAAUACAUUUCAUUUAAUUUAUUUUUCCAAUUUGUUAAUUCCUUAAAUUUGUGUCAUUAAAAAUGAUAAAAAAACUAAUUGUGCAGUAAAGACAUCACCUAUCUGGGGUUCAAGAUAUUUAAUAAUUGAUGGGAAUCAAAUCCAACAUAUAUUCCUAGCCUCAUUUGAGGAUUCAUUUCAGUACAUUGUGGUGGAGCAAUUGAAACAUAUAUUACACAUCAAAAAACUCUCAAAUGAGAAAUAUUUGGCUCAUGAUCAUAUGAUAAUUAUAAUCAUGAGUACUUGUGAUAAGCUAUUGGUCUAAUACACACAAGUGACGCAACAAGCAAAAUAACAUGUCUCUGUACAGAUGUAGAGAGCUCUAGCAAGCAAACGUUUUAUAAAAGAUUCUGCUAAACCAUUUUGUAUAUGAACAUGAGCUACAUGAUGUUUAACACUUAUCCAAAGAGACAUACAAUAAUUAUCAAAUGUUUGGGAUUGAUUAAUUAGUUGGCAGCACCUUUUAUUUUUUUUUUAAUUAUUUGGCAUUAUGUAUUCUGAGUUAAUUAUUUGCGUCUAUCAUGCUCUAAUUAUUAGCAUUAUGGCAUCGUGUUCUAAUUAUUCGUCAGCACCCAUUUUGCCUAUUAAUUAAUUAGCAUAUGUAUUUAACACACCUAUUUUUUUUUUAUUAUUUGGUAUCUUCAUCCUGCUUUCUUAGUUAUUUGGCAGCACCAAUUUGACCUAUUAAUUAAUUAGCAUCCUCCCUUCUGAAUUAAUUAUUUGCAUCUACAUUAAUUAAUUAACAUCAUUUUAAUUAUUUCACACUCAUUUGAUAUCGUGGGUUAAUUAUUCAUUCGACCAUUAACUAAAAUCGACAUCGCAUUAAUUAAUUAUGGGACAUCUUCACAUCAUACAUUAAUUACCCUGGUGUCCGUUGAUUAAUUAUUUUGCAACCAUUAAUUAAUUAUUUUACAUUUUUGCACGUUGCAUAUUUUUGCAUCUCACGUAUAUUAUCUUUGUAUUUAUUUUAUCUCUCUAUAUUAUUUUAUCUCAAACUUUCUAUAUUACUUUAUCAUGUAUAUUAUCUCAAAAUCUUUGUAUUAUUUUAUUCCAAUUUUUCUAUAUCAUUUUAUCAUGUAUUAUUUUACCUCAAAAUCUUUGUAUUAUUUUAUUAUUAUUAUUUUAUCUCAAACUCUUUAUAUUAUUUUAUCUCACCAUAUUACCUUAUUUAUUUCAUAAGUAUUUAUCAAAUUUUACGCGAUUUUAUCAUUAUCAUUAUUAUUUAUUUAUUUUUCAAUUUGAAAUAAAAAUAUAAAUCAGAGAAAAUUAUUAUUUUUUUAUGGAUUUUAUAAUUUAAAUUUCAUCGAUAGAUGAAAUUUUCUUCAUUUGAAAUUUAACUAAUAGAUUAUCUUUAAAAUUAUAAACCCAUUUUAUAUUUUAAAUUAGAUUGAGUAGUGUUUUCUAUGAAUUUAUUAAUUCUUAGAUACAUGAAAUUUUUUAUUAAACAUUUAUGAUGAAGAUUAAAAAAUCAAAGUUUGGUAUUUUAAUAUUCUUGAGGUGAAUAUAAAAGAAACAUCUUUUAAAACAAAAAUAAACUUCAUUUUUCUAACGGCUUCUAUGUCACCCAUAAUUAUCAAUUAAUGCUUAGGUUUUAUUUUCUUCGAUGUGAAUUGAUAACCAUAGGACAUUUAAAAAAAAAAACCUAAAUAAAAAACAUUGUUUUGUAAACCUUAUAUUUUAGUUUAAAAGAUAAAAUUGGGUAACCAUUUUAUGGGUGCGGUAGGGUGUUAACACCUUUAUGACACAACUGACUCUCGAACUUAUGAUGAAUUUACAUAGACCAUUUUUUUAUUUAGAUGACCAAUCACACCUUAAUAUGGUUGGUGGCGACUCAGUAAUUAUUUAUUUAUUGAAAUUAAAUAAACGAGAAGGUCGGCUGUUUCGCGUAGUGAUCACGUCGCAACAAUAAUGAUGGUACCAAUGAUUUGAUUGGUUUUUGGGAAUUAUGUAGAAUUUGUCAAAGGCCCAAGAAGAUGAUUUCUUGCGGAUGUCUCUUUAGUUAGAUGGAAUAAGUGAGUUCGUUUGCAAGGCUACAAACCAAAAACAGGUGUGACUUUAGAUUGCAUGUCAAAUAUCACCAUCAAAUAUGUCUUAGGAUUUUCUUCUUAGUUUAAUUUGUUUUCUUUUUCACAAUAUUGUCAUUUCCUUCUUGUUCCUAAUUAUAAUGAAAACAAAUCAAACCCUUUCAAAUGCUUCAAACAAAAUAACAAUUGCAAGACAGGUUGUUUUCAUUUUUGUGCAAAUGUAACUAUGCAUCAUUUAAUAAAAGGAUUGACAUUUUAACAACUCCUUCAAACUUCUACAAUUGUCUAAUCAAAAUGUACAUUUUAGACUUGAUGAAAUGAAGUUAUUAUAUCUGUAGUUUUUGUCUCAAUCCUCAAUUAACUUCAACUAAAUAAUCUAUGUUUUCCAUCUCAAAUUGCUCACUCUAAAUUUAGAUAAAAUCUAUAUUUAGGAUACUUAAUUUUAUAAACUAUAGUUUUAAUUAAGUUUGUAUUUGGAGAGUAUAAUCAAUUUUGCUGUAUCUAGUAAACUAAUUUUAAUAUUUUACUAUUUUUUAAAAUUUUUCUUUAUUGAUGUGUUAUAUACCACAUAUUUUAAUAUACAAAAUAAUUUAGUCAUAAAAAAUUUAAUUUCAAGAUGUUCUAUCUUUAUUUAUUUAUUUAUAUAUAUAUAUAUAUAAAAAAUUCAAAAUCAUUAAAAAUAUUUUUAACCUCGGGAAAGAAAAAGCAAGCUUUUCUAAUAGAUGGAAAACUUUAUUUUUUUUGGUUUUGUAUCAUAUUUGUAAGAAUUCAUUGUCCUUAUUAUGGUGUGAUAAUGUAGAUAUUAAAUAUUGAAAAGAAAAAUGGUGAAGAUUACUGAUAAUUUAAACAUUAUAUUUUGAGUAAUUGUAUCAAAUGACAAAAAUAUUUUAAAACCAAUUUUUGGUAUAUUACAAAUAUGAUAAAAUUAGUGAUAUCAGACGAUAAUCAUAGGGUAUGAGAGUUCUCACUUUUAAACUGCUAUUUUUGUAAAUUUAUAAAAUGUUGUGACAUGUUUUUUUUUUCUAUUUUGAUAAAAGCUCCACAAAGUUUAUUAUAUUUAAUUUUUCAAAAAGGAAAAUGUAAAUAUUUUAUUUUUUAACCGAUUUCCAAAUAUUUUUGUGUGGAAAUUAUAAGAAAAGAACAAUUUAAUGAAAAUGAGAGGACUGAAAUUGAUAUUUUAAUAAUUAUCCUCUUGAACAAGAUAAAAUAAUCAUUAGAAUUCAUGUGAACAUUAAACACGAUUACAUGAAGUGCUUUCUAGAAAAACUCAAAUUUGUAUAAUGAAAUUAAAUGGUUUAUAAGUAAUUAUAACUGAGAUAAUAAUUAAGGAUAUAACAAUAUUUAAAAAAGUUAAAAAUAUAGCAAAAUUAUCGAUGAUAGAUUCGUAUCAUUAAUAGACUCAUAUGAUAUAUUAGUGAUAGACCAAUAUUUACAAUAUGGUUUAUUGAUGAUAAACUUCUAUCAUCGAUAGAAUUUGACAAAUUUUACUAGAUUUGUAAAUUUUUUAAAAUGUUGGUAUAUACUCAAUUAUUUUAAAUUUAAUUGCUAAAUUUGUAACUAUAUUUAAUAAUGCAUUUUUCACAACUAGUCUAAGUAGAUAAAAGGUGCAUUUAAAUAAAUAGACAUAAAUUUGUUAUUUUAAAUCGUGAAUAAUUUAAAUAAGAUGAUAUAAUCUCAAAUAAGGUCGAUUUUUUUUCUUUUCAAAUCUCAUAUGUGGUUGAGCUUAAAUAUAUAUAUAUAUAUAUAUAUAUAUAUAUAUAUAUACCAAUCUUCAAAUGAAUAACAUUGUUGUGUUUCAAAUAAUUUAUAGAUAUUCACCCAGAGUAGAAAACAAUAUAGCUCAGUUUAACAAUAUAUUUUAUUUAUUAUUUUCUUGUCAUAAUCAGAAGAACAAACUUCCAAAUAUUAUAUUUUUGUAAGAUAAGAUCGCUGAAUUUACAACAACGACCACACAACAACAAUUAUAUUAUGCUAUCUAUCUUUUCUUCACUAAACAUGACCCAUUAUCUAAGAGAGGAUACUUUAAAACUAAAUUCAAAUCAGUACAAGUUUAGUUCUUAAUUUCUAAAAUUAUGACCCAUAAAAUAUUUAAAAUUUUAAUGUUAAACUUCAAUAAAUCUCUUUAAAAUGUCUAUUAGAUAUUAUAGACUUUUAUUUACGAUAGAAAAAUCUCACAAAAUAUAACACAUCAGUCCUUAAAAUUAGUCGUUGUGUUAGAAGAAAAAUUAUUUUUGUUUCUACGUUAAAGUUUCAACUUUGUUGCGAACAAUUAUUUAUAUAUAUUUGUUGUUUUGUACUACAUAUUAAACAUACAAUAGAGAUGUCCUGAUUUGCUACAUAUUUUUUAAAGCUUAUCUAAAAUUGUAAGCCCUGUAAAAAGUUAUGCACUUAGCAUAAAAUUCUGAAUAUAUCACUGUGUGUUAGCUAGCUUUGCUUGUUUUGGUGAUAUUAUAUAGUUUAGAUAUUACAUCAAUAAAUUUAUAUGAACUAGUAUUAGGAGCUGAGCCAUAUGGAGACAGGGGAGCAAAAUGAAAAGUUUGUAACCCAUUGCGCACGUUUUAAAGUGUAGAGACUAUAUAUAAACUCUAAUUUAGAGAUUUAUGAGUUGAGCAUCUAAAUCCUAUAAUAUGGAAGUGUGGAAGUUCGGACUAUGCUCCAGUUCUUACCUGACUUAUUGAACAAGCCUUUGAAACUCAACUUCAGUAGUUCAGUUUAUAAACUUAAAAUUUCCAUUUUGUUUUCACAAAAAUGUUAUACUUGAGGGUGCCAAUUGGUUUUCUUUUCAACUUAAGAAUUUGUUUGACAAACCAGUUAUGGUGUUUUCUAUUUUAAUUUGUGGUUUGUAUUCGUUCAAGUGGGUAUGCUUUUGAUCUCCCCAUAUUUUUGGCAAAUUUCAACAAAAACUUGUGGUAAAAAUUUGUUGUUAUUUUUACGAGAAAACAUUUAAUUAGAAUAAAUCUUUGUGAAGGACAGCGCUUUAUUUUAUUUUCCCCCCUUUUUCUUCUCUUUUGUUUUGUAGUUUUUAACAUUUUUAAAUGAGAUUCAACAACUUUUACUAAGAUAUUAGGUAAAAGUUCACUUUGGUAAAUCCUUGCGGGAUAUUUGAGUAGAAAUGGGUAUAUAUUCAAAAUUUCAACAAAUUUUUCUGUGAUGAAUAAUCUUUGAGUUCCCCAAGCUGUUAUUUUAAUUUGGUGCAAGUCGUCCAAAACUUGCUGUUGUCCUUGUAUAGGGCUGUCAAAUUGGUGUGCUUUAUCCUUUGGGAUCCCUCUCCUUGUUUGGUUACUUCUAAAAGUACAAAUGAUAAAUUAUUUUUUCUCCCUCUUUCUGUCUAUCUCUUCUAGGUGUUGGUACGAAGAUGAUGAGAGAAAAGUAUCCAUAAAAACUAUUCUUUCAAUGUUUCUUUCAACCGCGUAACUUUUUGUCCACGUAUAUAUUUUCUUUGUUAAAAACGAAGAUGUAACCAUGCAAUGAAAUUAAGUUGUCAUAUCAUAUCUUUGUCCAUUUUUUGUUUCGUUACAAAAAAAAUUGUCAACAGAGACCAAAAUUCUUGUAGUGUAUUGAGUUAACAACGUGAGAUGUUGAUGAUGCAAUCAAUCACAGUAGUCUAUGUGUGAGAAUGAUUCGUGUUCUUGGUGAAAGAAAUAAGAGGACGCUAAUGCAUGUAUGUUAUAUGUCUUGAUUGAGGCGCUGAAAGUCUAUUUAUGAAAAUGUAUUUACAUGUUGUAUGCCACAAAAGGAUUUUGAAACCUCACACACUAAGUAUUUGACUUAUAUUUUAAGUUUUCUUGGUUGUUUUGUUGCUCUCUAGCUUCAUAGCAUAAGAUAAAAUAAUCAAGAAAAAUAUAGAAAUGUAAACCCCGAACCUUAAGAAACUGAAGGUUUCUAAAAAUGUAUUUUGAGUGAAGUUAAUUAUAUGUGAAAGUAAGCUUGAGAAGUGUCAUUGUAAGUGUGUCAUGGUAGAUAGAAUGAAGGAAAACUAAGAAGAAAUGGUUUAAAAGUUAAAGGGGGUUAAGGUUGAAAAUGGGGAAAUUUUGGUUAAGUCCAUGGCAUAGGCGUUUUGGGCUUGGUGGGCAGCCAAAAAGGAGUAAAUAGCCGCUAGGGCAAGAAGAAGUGACUUAAACGGCUAGCUUGUAUGUGUGGCUGAGAAAGAUGGAAAAACCUAUAAGAAGUGUGCUAGGCACUUGGACUACGCGAGAAGACGUGUCUUUAGAGGUUAGCUAGGGCAUUUAGGCUCGGCGAAGAAGUUAGUGUAGAGGGCAUGGCUAUACAAGAAGAGGUUUUUGGCUUUGUCAAGUAAGGUAUUAAUAAGGCAUUUCCAAGGGUUCUAAGCAUUUUGGUUGGACAUUUUGAGUGAGGUUAGGCAAGAUGAUGAAGAGAUGGAGUCAGUGAAGUGAUUUGCAGGUGUCAUGUGCAUGUUUAGGUUAAAUUUAGAAAAGCAGGAGGUGUCAAUAAUUUUUCAUGCAAAGCUCAGUAUCAAUACAUCACUUUAGAAAUGAAAUGUCUCCCAAAUUACUUGUGUGUUUUGGCUUAACUUAGUCUCAAAUGAUCAUAAAUUGAGUAUAUUGUAAGCUGGGACACCUGGUUAAAAUUGAAGAACGGAAGGUUGAGUUUGAGUUGAAAGAAGGGAGAAAGGUCAUUUUUGGAGGAAUUCUGAGCAAGAUUCACUCCAAGAAGGCUAUAGAACGCAAUUAGUGGAUUUUGUGGCUGAAAUUGUGAAGUAAGAACGUUACGAAGUUUUGCAGCAACUUUGUAGAAGGAAAUAAUUUCAUUUGAGAGCUAUGUAUUUUAAGAUAUAAAUCUCUAAAGUGGGACUUAUGUUCUGAUUGAGAAGUUGAGUUUUGGGUAGUGGAGGUGGUUGGUCGAGUAUUGUGUUAUCUUAGGCGAGAUGGGUGUGGAUUCUAAGUUAAAAAUGGUUAGCAUGGUGCUUGUGGGCUUAUGUUGGACGCACAACCCAGGCAAGGCUCGUGGCCAAGGUAGCGUACAACAAGUCAUGCGCAUAAGAGGGCCAUGCAAGACAUUGGGUGCGAGACCAAGCAAGCCGUGUGCAACAAGUCCUUUUCGAGGUUAGCACGUGGCAAGGCUUGCCCAGACCAUGUGCGUGUGUGCCAACCUCUACUGUCCAUCUGUGUGCCCAAACCAAUGUCAAUUGAUGGUUUUGGGGGCUGUUUUUUACGAUUUUGGAAAACUUAAGUGAAGUCUUGAUAAUUUAAAGGAAGUUAAAUAGAAUUAUUUACCAUUAUUUCAGGAUAAGAGGAGAUCAAAAAAAAUUUACAAGUCGGGGGUUUAAGCUACCAUCUAUGAGUGACAAAAUGAUUUUUUAAUAAUGUUUUUGAUUUAGUUUUACAUGUUAUUUAAGAAUAUUUUGAAAUGAUAUAUUAUUGAACUGUACUGAUUAUGAUAUCUUGAUUUACAAGUAUGUCUAUAAAAGGUGUUUUAAGUGUGUUAUUUAGAAAACGAUUCCAAAACAUGAGUUUAGAAACGUUUAGCAAAACAUGUACUUAUUGAUAAUUUACUGAUGAGAUUUGCAAGCUAGCUAUGGUUAAUGAAUAUGCUUUGAGUUUAUGUAAAUGCUAUUGUUUUAGAAUGAUGUUUGAAGAGCAUUAAUUUAAUGAGGAAGACUUCAAGCAAGAAAACCUUGUUUGUUCUAUACAUCGAGUUUUCAAUGGUCAAUGUACACAAAUAUCCAGGGGUACAGGGUUAUGCUGACCACUUAGUUGCUACCACCGAGUUUAGGCAGGAUAGUAUGAUUAGCGCUUUGCUAUCUUGAUCGAAUUCAGAAAUGACAUUGCGAUGAUCGAAUUCAUGCAUGAUGUACUCAUGAUUGAGUUUUCAGGCACAACAGGUUGAGUUAGUUACUAUCAUGACUGAAUUUCUAAAGUAUAAAACUAACGGAGACAAAGAAACAGAGAUUUGUUUUAGAAAGCAAAAGAGCUUCUAAAAGAUAGAAAUAUAUAUUUCUAAAGGUGGAAAAAGUUUUAAAAGAUUCUAUUCUUAUGAUAUGGUUAUCUAAUUAUUUAAGAAAACAAUGAAAUUAUUUAGAAAAGUACGUUUUAUUAAAAAUGUCAUUCGUUGAGCUUUUUAGCUCACCAUUUUCAAACGUUUUCCCAGUUUUCUAGAGAUCAUGAUCUAAGGGUCUGACCAUUGUCUCCGGUCUGUUUUCCAAAAUUGUUAAUAAUUUUGAUCCUGUGGGUCAGUUCUAGAUCUAUAUAUAUGUUAUGUACAUAGGUUAUGUUUAAUGGAUGAGUUCAAUUGUUAGUUUUGUUUGGUCUAAAAGUAUAGUCUAUAAUCAAUGGUGUUUAGCUUAACUUAUUUUGAAGUUAUGUAAUGAAGUUUAUUUAAUUUGUGUUUAUCUUGUUAAUUCACUGCAUAAGUUUUAUUUUAUUCAAGAUGUUUAGCAUUACAAAAGGGUUCAGUAGUCAGGGUCAGCUGGUGUUAUUCAAAAGAGGAACGAUUUCAGUUGACUUCACAUCGACAGUAGGUGAUCCAGGAGUGGGUGUGACAAGAAAUGUUUUCCAAAUAUACUAAAAUGAGCAAACUUAUUUAUAAAUAUAGUAAAAAAUUUCUCUCUACUUAUGAUAAAUCACAACAGAUUCAAAUAGAGAUCUAUUGCUUCAAUUAAUAAGAUGCAUAUUGAUAAAUGUCUAGUUGACUUUAUUACAGUCUAUUACUAAUAGAUAAAAUUUUGCUAUAUUUGUAAAUAUUUUUCAGUAGUUGGUUAUCAAAAACAAAUUUCAAAUAAUAUAAGAAUGAUCAAAUAGGCAUGCAUGCAUAAAAAUUAUUAGUUCCCAUCUUAAUCUUAAAUCAUAGACCUUUUAACUAACACACGUCAUCUUCUAAUUAUAAAUCAAAGUCACUAAUCAACAAUUAUUAUGCAGCGUUAUAAGUCAUUGGGUUUUUUUCUAAAAAAAAAUUAUAUAUUUUAAUUAACAUUUCAAAUGUGUUUGUUUUUUGGGCUUUUUAUUUUAGGAAAUAUAUACGCAACUCUUAAUAACAAUAGAUCAAAUAUUAAUUUACAUUCCACUCUAAACUAAUAAUAGUGUUAAUUAAAAGUUAAACUUUCUUAGAGUAUAUUGGAUUUAUACUAUUUAUUAUGUUUCAAUUGUAUAAAUAUUGUUUUUUUUUUCAGACAUAUAACUUUAUCAAUCGAAAUUUUUCGUAAGGUUUUGAUCUAUCAGUUUGGAUUUAUAGUUAGAAGAUAUCUUUUGAAAAGUCUUUAUUAUCUAUCAAUUCUAAUGUUAUGUUGCUAAUACAAGAUUUGAAAAAUUCAGUACACGUUUGUAAUAUUUCACAUAUUUAUGAUUUUCAAACAAUAAUCUUAAUAAAUUGUUUAAAUAGAUUCAGUUAUGAAAAUUUAGAGUUAAAACAGAUAAAAGUCUCUUAUAUUUAUCGAACUUGAUAUAACAAGCUUGGAGAUGCCACGUGUCACAAUCAUAGCGUUUCAAUCUCGAGACGGACGAUUGUGCGGCACUUGUUCUAACUUGAUGAACAAGUGAGCCGAUCAAAAUUCGAAAAUCACGGACAAAGUCGACGUAUGAUGUAGCCUUCUUCGACGUUUUUGGGAAAUUCGUUCAUAAAAUGUGAGAAAGAAAGAAAUAUGUAAACAUUGAAAUUGAUGUUACAAUAUGCAUUAAAGUCCGUUAGUUGCAAGAAAAAAAGGUUGCUUGCAAAUAGUACAAUUAAUGUUUGGACGGAGAUUCAACUAGUAUGCCUUUCCUAUAAUACAUUUUGAACAUUUUCAGCUCUGGUAAGCUUGCAUAUGAAAAUUCUGAAACGUCACACCCAAAUUUUAUGACUUAAAAUAAAAGACAACUACCUAAACUAAAUAUGAGACAUAAAGAUAAGAUAAACUGAGGAUAUUCGGAGCGUAUAACCAUAAGUAAACACACAUUGGAAAAAUAUGACCGUGACACCUCGCUCCUUUUCGACUUGAUUAUUGAUGUAAAAGGCUGGACAAGACCAAAGGCUUUUUGAUGGGCUUACAAGUCCUCUCUUUAGAAGAUCUGAUAUUUCUAUUUUACAUGUCUUUACUAGGUCUUUGAACAUCCUAUUCAAGCUUUCAAAGGUUCACAUUUGCAAAGGAUAUGUGUGCCUUAUCACAACACAUUCAUUUUGGUUAACAACCUUAACGAAGGAAUUAUUGUAGGAUCCAGUUUCCUAUCCCAGUUGUAUCCAUAUUUAUUUACUAACAAGAGUAUAAUUUUCAGAAAGUUCAACAAAGUAAUUACUUUCAAUUUGUGUCACCCCAUGCCUUCUAAGUAUAUCUCCACCAUUGAAGAAAAUAUUUUUCAAUUCGUCUUCGAAAUUAUAGUAAAUUUUAUGGAGAUUGAUGAAAAUUAUUAAAAUUAGUUUGAUUGUGAUUGAGUUAUGAAAAAUUGUUAAAAGUAGCAAAUUUGACAAAAUAUAACAAUAUUUUCAGAUUCUAUCAAUAAUAAACGUUGAUAGUCGUUGAUAUGCUUCUAUAGUGAUGUUGAUAGUUAGUAAUAAAAGUCUAUCCAUAACUAUCAUGGAUAGAAUCCAAAAUUUUUGUAAACAUUUUAAUUUAUUUUGUUAAUUUUAAAAACGUUCCUAUCAUUUUAAUUAUCAUUACAAAGUAAGAUAACAACCAGUAGAUGUGAAUGGUAUAAUCUAUGUGAAUGGCAUAGAAUGGGAUGUGAGAGUAGAAAAUUUGGAAAAAAAAGAUAAAAAAUAUUAUCAAAUAUUUAAAAUUAAUUAUAAAAUUAAAAACAUGAAAUAUUUUCCUAUAAAAUUAUGGUAAAUGUUUAUUAUAAAUAAACUAUAUAUAAAAAUGAAAAAUUAUAGUAUUAAACCAUAAAAUAAUAGGAACAUAAAAAAUCAUAACAUUAGAGAUAACGUAAUGAAAAAGAAAAAGAGAAAUCAAAAAUCAAAUUUUCAAAAUUUCAAGAUUCAAGAAAUGGAAGGAAAACUUUUUAAACCAAAAUUUUGAAAUUUAUCUUAAUCUCUCAAAAUUUGGAGAUUUCAACUAAAAAUUUGAACUAAGGGUAAAAAAAAAAAAGGAUAAUGUUCUCAAAUAAUUUUUGUUAAGAAAAAAACUUGUUUCACCCAACUUUCUUUUCUCCAUAAAUUUGUUAUUGUUAAUAAAAUUAAGUGACGAUUUGAUGGAAAGAGUUGUCCCAAUCAGCCAUUAAUGAGAGAUGGUAUAGGUUCUUGUAAUUAGAAUGCAUCUCCCUAAUGAACUCAAUUAUUGUCCUUUAAUUUUCAACUUAUCAUCAAAAUAAUUGGUAUCAUUUUUACUAAAGUUCAAAUCAUUGGUAUUGGUAUUAUGGAAAGUAAUAAUCUCCCCAUCACAAAUUUAAGGUGAACUUUCAAGAAAAAUAUAUAUAUAUACACUUAAAUAAUAGAGCAUUUUCAAUUAUAGCCAAAUAAAUAUCAAACAAAAGUUAUACUUUUAUUAGUGUCUAUUCCGAGCAAUAGAAAAUUUUGCUAUAUUUGUUUAAGAAUUUGAAUUAAUUCCUUUUAACUAAAAGUUAAAUUAAAAUACAUAUUAAAUUUUUAAGUAAAAAACAAGUUAGAAAAGAAUAAGCGCAAAUUCAACUUUGUUAUACUCAAAAUAAAAAAUAAAAACCAUUAUAAAACUCAAACACUACUACAAAACUCGAUUUAUUUGACGCUUAAAAACUGUCAAAUAUUUGUUUACUUGACGCUUUUCAAUGCGCCAAGUAAUCUAGGGUCAAGAAUAAGACAGUUUUACUUGACAAUUUUUAAGCGUCAAGUACAACUACACUUCACUGGUAAAAGACGUCAAGCAUACGAGAUUAAUUGACGCUUCUUCUGCGUCAAGUAAUCCAGUGUCAAGAAUAAACGGAUUUUUGUUUGACAGUUUUUAAGCGUCAAGUAAAAUUAUACUCAAUAAUUUAUAAACGUUAAGUAUAUAAGAUUUGUUGACAAUUUCUACAUGUUAAGAAUUUUUUUACUCUUGACACGCUUUGCAUGUCAAGUUUUUUUAAAUAAAAAAUUAUAUAUUUUAAAAUAUAUCCAUAAUUUAUCUUACAACUGUUUUGAAGUUCAACAAUAACGAACAUAUAUAAGUAAAGUAAGAGAGUACGCGUGCAAAUGUGUUAAAUACACAUUAAUUUAAAAUUGAAUCAACUAAACUUUUUCAUCAAACAACUAAUAAUAUUUUAACAUAUUGCAUAUAUAUAUCAAUCAAUCAUAUACAUACAUAUAGUUUAGCCUAAACUUCUAACGAUAGCCUAAACUUUCCAACUAUGUAUAGCCGAACUAUAGGUGUAUCAACAAAAUAUCAACAAAACUAAUUCACCUAGCUAUAUCAAUUAUAUAAACAAAAUAUCACAUCUACAUCCAAUAUCAACAAAACUUGUCUAUUUAACCCAAAAUAUAAUUACCAUAAUCACAUGUGGCCACAAAAAAAAAAAAAAAAAUCAGCAAGCUUCAUUCGCACUUCAUCCAACUCGAAUUGACUAUAUGGGCUUUUUGUAUCAAUUUGAUAUGAAACCCAAAAUAUUAAAGUUAAUACAUUGAUUACUUGAAUUGUAAAAAAUAAUUGAAAUAAUCAUUUAAACACAACAUACUGAAUCUGUGACUACCAUGCUCCUUUUAGCAUUGUCAAUUAAAAUAAACUUGUACAAAAACUAUAAACAAAUUUACCUCAACUAUGAUAUAGAUCUUUACCUUCAAUUCAGUAGGCACAUCUGUCCAUGAUGCAUAGUUAAUGGGGAUGUGGUAGUGUACACAUGAUCCAAUAAAAGAGUUUAGCUUCACCCCAUUUUCUCCAAUGGGUACGCCAUCUUCAUUAUAUUCCACUAAUUUUCUCUCACCUUCACUUCAAACACGAGUCACAUCGAACAUAAUUAGGUCUUCACUUCCUUUGUUUUUUACGUUUCUCUAUAAUUUGUUCACCGACUCCUCCAACGACUAAUCCACCAACCUCCUUGUCUUGAUCAUCACUUAUUAUCUUUGGCUCCAUGUGUAAGGAGAAUAUCUUGUUAAAACAAUAUUAAAAAGAAAAGAUUAUAUUAGACAUACUAGGCAUAUACAAAAUAAAACAUAGCAUAUAUGUACAUAUAUAACAAGUAGAACCCACCUACAAUGUGUUAUUUAGAAAUCUGUAUGCCUUAAUAGACUGAUCAUACAUAUGAUGAGAUACUCUCGUCCAAAUCAUUACUUUCAUCGAUAUUUGGCAUAUCACUAGGUACUCCUUGACAAUGUAACAUAAUAUCUCAAAGUUCGUCGUCAUUUGGUUGAUCUUCAUAAUCUCUUUGUGGUGGAGUAAGCACAAUUGACCAUCUAGCAUCACUUGGAUCUUCAACGUAAAAAACUUGCAUUACUUGGGUUUCCAUUAUAAAUGAAUCAGGCUUGUGACUUAUUCUUUUUAAAUCAACUAACACAAAACCAAGGUCAUCGAUCUUCAUACUAAUAUUGUUCUCAACCCAAUCACAUCUAAACACUGCAACAUUGAAAGUAUUAUAAUUAAGCUCACAUACGCGCCUUUAAUCAUUCCAUAAAAGGACAUAUCUCCAGCGAUGAAGUUUUUAUCUUUUGAAUUGGAUACUUGCACUUUUUUCACGACUAAUCUAACUCCACUAUUUUGUACAUUUCGAUUCUGAUCAUAAGAUUUUGUGUGAGAGCGACAUUCAUUAAUGACAUAACUGUUAUACUUAAUGACUAAAAGGAUAAGGCCAUGAGCAAUCCACCUCAAGUUAUCUGAAACUUCAAUAUUUUCCAUCCUAAUCUCAGAUGCAACCUACCAUGAUAAGUACCUUAACGAAAUUACAAUGUUCACCAUAAAAAAUAUCAAUGUUUAAAAUUUCACCUUUUCUCUUUACCAAGAUAUGAAAGUUCGAUCAUGUUCUUCUUGAAUCUAUUUUUUGAUGAAGAGCCUUAAUUGGGUAUUUCAAUUGCAAUACCCCCGCAUGUUUACUUGAACAUUGAAACAUUGUAACAUAAUGUUAAGUUUAUGUCAUAAAAUUAAAUAAAACAAAAAGAAGACAAGAUAAUUGAAACUUUAAUUUACUCUAUAUAUGGUUGCACACCAAUUGUAUUUGCCCAAACAUAUCGAUGAGCUUGGUAUAGAAGAUCCUCUUCAAGUUUUAAGGAAACUCCUAAAGACAAUGGUCUACCAAAGUUUGAAUUGUCUAAAGAUGCAUCUAAUCUAUUAAUGUCUAGCCCAACAUGAUCAAUCCUUGAUAAGAAGUCUGAACAAAACUCAAUAGCUUCUUCUACUAUAUAACUUUCUGCAAUAAAACCCUCUGGACGAUAUCUAUUUCUCACAUAGUUUUUUAGAACUUUCAUGUAUCUUUUGAAGGGAUACAUCCAUUUUAGAUAUAUGGGCCAAAAAAGUUUGACUUUUCUAACAAUGUGCACAGUGAGAUGCAUCAUAUAGGGAAAAGUGAAGGAGGAAAAUAUUUCUCUAGUAGACACAUAGUCACCACAAUAUCUUCUUCCAACCUUUUCAGUUGUUGCACAUUGACGACUUUAUUACAUACUAGAUUGAAAAAUAUACACAAUUGAGUGAUGGCAUACCGAACGUAUUAAGGGAGCACAAAUCUUAUCGCAAUAGGAAACAAUUGUUGUAAGAGCAUGUGACAGUCAUGAGAUUUUAAACCAUUAAGCUUUAAAUCAGUCAUCGACACAAGGUUUAUAACGUUCAAAGAAUAACCUUCAGGUACCUUUACUUCUGACAAUGUCUUCAGAACACAACGUUUUUCUUCCUUUAUAAGAGUAUAACAAGCAAGAGGAAUAAUUUUUUUUUUUUUUUUACCUGACAGGUGCAAGCUCGGGUCAAAUUUUCAAAUAAAUUAAAUCAUGUCUAGCAUUCAAACCAUCAUUGCUUUUUCUGAAAAUAUCAAGAAGUGUACCCAAUAUAGUCAAACAAACAUCUUUUUUUCAAUGUAUAUCAUUAUCUACGCAAUGUCUAACAUGAAGAUUUUUCCAAUAUGGUAGCUCAAAAAACAAAGACGGAAUGUUCCAACAACUCAUUCAACUUCCUUUCAUAGGCUGUUUUUUUUUUUUUUUUUUUUUUUUUUGUCUUUUUCUUUCCUCUUGAAAAUUCAAGGUCUUUUAUUCUUGAAUAUACGGUCUCUUCAUACAAAGGUUCUGAAAUUGUUUAAAGCUCAUUUUCACCAUUAAAUGAUUUCUUUUGAAGACGGUAUAAAUGGUUGUGGGCUAGAAAUCUUCGAUGUCCAACAUAUGCCAUUUUUUCCCCAUAUUUUAAUCAUAUAAAGGACGUAUUAUCUCCACAAAUUGGACAUGCUUUAUUCCCUUUCACACUACAUCCACUAAGGUUUUCAUAUGCAAGAAAAUAACUUAUUGUCCAUAAUAAAACAGCUCUUAAAUGAAUAGUUCUUCUUAAUUAGCAUCAUAAUAUUCAACACCACUUUCCCAUAACAAUUUUAAAUCCUCAAUUAGUGGUGCUAAGUACGUGCCAAUGUCAUCCUCUGGUUGUCUUGGACCCGAUAUCAACAUUGAUAAUAUCAUGAACUUUCUUUUCAUGCACAACAAUGGUGAAAGAUUAUAAAUAACUAUCACUACGACCCAACCACUAUAUUUAGAACUCAUUUCACCAUGUGAGUUGAUUAAAUUAGUUGACAAUGCUAAACGAAUAUUCCUAGGUUCAGAAUCAAAGUUUGGCCACUUCAAAUCUACUAAUUUUCAGGUUGGAGAGUCUGCAAGAUGUCGUAAUUUUUCAUCAACUACUCGCUCAUUAGCAUGCCAAAUCAAAUUUUUAACAUUGUCAAUACUUCGAAACAAUAUUUUGAAAUGUGGAAUCGGUGGAAAGUACCAUACAACAUUUCUAGGAAUCUAUUUUUUCCCUUUGUUUACAUUAUUAGCAUACUUCCACCUUGAUUCACCACAUUCAGGAAAUUCAAUUCCAUUAGCAUAUUCAAUUCCAUUAGCAUAUUCUUUUCUAUACAAACAACAAUCAUUAGGGCAUGCAUGAAUCCUUUUGUAAUUCAUUCCUAGUGCACCUAAAGUUUUCUUCGCUUCAUACAUUGGUGUUUGCAUCACAUUGGUAGUAGGCAAAAUUUUUCUUUCAAUUUUCAGUAGUUCUGAAAAGCUAAUAUCACUUCAUCCAUGCCUAACUUUCAAAUUAUACAACUUGAUUAAUGUGGACAAUUUGGUGAAUCUUUUGCAUCCUUCAUAUAAUGGUUUUUCGACAUCAUUAAGCAACUUCUCAAAUUCAUUUAGAUAUUUUGAAUACUUCUCAUGAGCAACUUCAAUCAUUUCAGUAAUUCUUCCAACAUCAUUCUCUUCAUACAUGUGGGUAUCCAAACUUAGAAGAUUUCUCGCAUAAGAAUGAGUUAGGUAGUUGUUCACCAUGCCAAUAGUAGUAUGAUUUUGUUUUUCACAAUUUCCACAUUUCAAACAAAGACAAUGAAUAGAGCCAUCAUUUGUAUUAGAAAAAAUCAAAAUUCAUGAAGUUUUCUACACCCAAUUCAUAAUCUUUUGAUAACCUACUCUUGUGCAUCCAUGAUUUAUCCAUAGGUGUAAAUCCUAAGAGAAGUUAUUGAGUAAUGGUUAUCAAUUUCAAGUAUAAUAUAAAAAAAAUACAAUGAUACAUAAAAAUAAAUGAUGAUGAUGACAAGUUUUCUACACCCACUAUUGCAAAGAAAAUCUCAUGAACAUUGAUGAUGCAAAUAACUAUUUGACAAACAAAAUACAAAUAGAAAAUAGAAAUUUGUAAUAUUCAAUAUCAUAAGUAAUUCUAUAACUAUUACACCACCAAUGAUAAAAAAAAAUAUGGUUGUAGGGUCUCUUUUUAUAGAUUUAAUGUACUAAAAUAAUAAAAGAAAUAUAGUUCAUAAUAUAGAAGACUAUUUAGUUAGGACUCAAUCUAUUAAUAUAUUACUAUGAGCAUUACCGCCCGCCACCGUUUCUUUCACUAUUUGACCUUCGAGUAUAAAGUUUUGAUACAAUUAUUGCCCUUUUUAACCCAUCAAAACUUCAUGUCCAAACUAUUGUAACCUAACUUUCUUUUUCAUGUUCAAUUGUGAAUAAAACUAAACUCACUUUUGUAGGCUCUAGUCAAAAGGCUAACCACAAAUGUUUAAGAAGAUUCGGAAAUGAACCUUUAAAGGGGUCAACAUAAAGACAUUCCCUCUAUUCUCUUUUCUUGAUUUUCUUUGAAACAAAGACAGUAACAAAUAGAUAAAUAAACAAAAACAAGUAAUACACACAAAUUAAGAACUCAACUAAGCAAGGGACCUACUAGGUCUCUGCAUGUCAAUAUAUUAUUUGGUCUAUAUUGAGCAAUAUUUGACAGCAACAAUCAUCGUUCUAAAGUGAAUAAAAAUGACCACCAAUAUUUCAAGAAUAAAUAGUUAAAAGCAAUGGCUAAUGGGAUUUUAAAAUAAAAUACUAGCGAACAACUUAAACAUACAUACAAGUAUGUGUUUAUGCAUGAUAAUGAAAUGACUCUUAGUGUUUGAUCAUGCAAGUAAAAUGAAUAAUAUAUGCUCGAGUUUUGAAACUAUAUUUGAUGAAUAUUGUUGAUCACACACAUAUAUAUAUUAAUGAAACUGUUUCUGGACAACGGUACAGGACUAUUAGAUCAGCACAAUACACAAACAAAAAUAUAAUUCAAUUACAAUUUUUUUAAAAAAAAAAUUGAAACAUGCUUGAUGGUUUUAAAAUAUCAUAAACAAUUACAUUCUUGACAGUUAUAAAAUGUCAUAAACAAAUACAUUCUUGACAGUUUUAAAAUGUCAUAAACGAGGACAUUCUUGAUGGGUUUAAAAUGUCAUAAACAAGUUCAUUCUUAACAGUUUUAAAAUGUCAUGAAAUUAUGUAUAUUUGACGAUUAUAAAACUUCAACGUUCUCUAUUCUUGAUGUUUUUAUCAACCAUCAAGAAUUUUGACUUUCUUGACAGUGACUUCAAUGACAUUUUUAAAACCAUCAAGAGUAGGGUUUCUUGACAAUUUAAAAACGUCAAGAGAGCCUGUUUUUAUAGUAGUGAGGGACAAUCUUCCUUUGUGUUUGGAAUGCACUCAUGCAUUCAUAGGAGAUGAGCAUUUAAGGAAUUAGAUCACAUUGCAUCCUUUAGGGAUGCCAAUUUGCUACCUUGAUUUCCAACUUUUGUUGAGGUAUUUAAAGUUAGUUUGGUUUGUAAUAGAGAUUGUGGUCUUACGUGGUUAAUGUUGUUAAAUAUCUCACUAGAUUUUUUUAAUGGAAUAUUUGACUAGAGAGUAAGGGUUUUGAGACAUCUUGGGAGGAGAUCGAGACCAUUGUUGGUUCAAGGCAUUUGUUAGUUAAAAACAUUGCCUUACCCCUUAGAUCCAAGACAAGCCAAUAAAGCUUAUUUUCCCAAAAAAAAAAAAAAAAGCAAAAAAACAAAAAGGGCAGAAAUAGUGAAGACACUAGCAAGUAACAAAUUAACACUUGGGACUUAUAAUGUUGGGAAAAAGAACAUUGAAAGUAGCUCAUGCCUUCUUUUUCUCCAUCCCUUGCUUCAUGGAAUUCGACACAGGCUUUCUAGAUGAUGCUACCCCACCUCGUAUGACCUUUCGAGGUACUAAAGAUCCCAAUUGAAUCAAAACAUUUAGCAUGAGAUAAUGAGAAAUUGAUAUAUUAAAAGCUAGAAGAGGAAUCUUCAAAACCGUAUAGGCAAGACCCUUUGGAUUCAUAGAAUGCAUAAAAUUAACUCAUAUGAAUGGAAAAGAAACUGAAAUCAUUACACAAUCAACAGAUAAAUUCAAACAAAGGAAUGUCGCCUCAAUGAAUGUAUUAAUAUUGAUCUCUAUAUGGACAGAACCAAUAUCUUAUGAAGUAGAAAAGAUAGAGGAAACUAACUGGUUCCAACCUUCAUUUUAGUGAACAAGUAGUUUCUAAAAUAUAGUGCACAAACAUGUCCAUUCUAUUCAGAAUACAACAAUCUCAAUUGUGUUCCACUUUCAACUGCUCGUUUCUGGUGAACAAACUCCAUGAGAGGGGUAAAAAUUGGAGUUUCUUUUGCAGCACCUGCGAACAAAAGUGGAUAUAUAAAACUUCUAGAAAUUAUUCGAAUUUGGAGUUAAUAGUAUCCCUCUGGCAGUUCAUAGCAAAGUUAUUGAAUGACUAUUCAGCAAUUGUUUGAAACUCUAUUUUUCUUCUAAAUCCAUAUUUCACAAUUAAGAGUCACGUAUGUCUUGUACCCAAAAAAAAAUGUGAAUGUCAAGAUUGUCACAGAAUACGAAAAACAUUGGUGAAUGGUUAGUGGUCACAAUGAGAGAAGGUCAAGGAUGUAAUAUAUACAUACGGACACAACUAAUUUAUCUAGCGACUUCUCACACAAAAUCAACAAUAACCAUGAACUUAAUCUAUUAUAUGAAAGCUAAGUCCUUAGCUCAACUCUUUAAUUCCCUAAUUUAGCUUUCAUCUAUCAAUAUUCUAUCCUUAAACUAAUUAAAGAACACACAACUAAACAACAAUGUAGUUUCUUAGAGCUAACAAACCAAACAUUCCAUCAACAAAAAAAAAACAUUAUAUAUCCACUGGAAAGUAAAACCUCACUUGAAAACAAAAUAAAAACAUUCAAAGUUCAUUAAAAAGAACAAAGAAAACACCCAAAACUCAUAAGAACAACAACCCAUUAAUGAAAAAAGAGAGAAACAGUAUAAGUUCGAGACAUUUCAAACAAACAAAAAUAUGAGUAAACAAAACAGCGAGUGAUGAACAAACCAAUGGUAAAAUAAAAAUAAAAUAAACAAACAAUUAACAAAAUUAGCAAGAACAAAGAAAAAUUCCAAAAGGCCAUUACAAAUAGAGAGACUUUAAUCUUUAAAGUUCGUCUAAUCUUUAAAGUUCGUCUCUCCAAAGACCUAAUUGUCAUCACUGGACAGAAGCCCUAACAACGAACAUAACAACACUUGACCCACUUGUCCUCCCAAUGUCAAAGAAAAUCCUCAAAAUUAUCAAGAAAAUCAAGCCUUAUGUACCUGAUUUCAAGCUCGCAUUCGAACAUUUUUGCAUCCCUAUAAGACUGAUGAGUUCGCUCCUCAUCCUCCUUCUUCUCUACCCGGGAACAGAUUUGAAAAGGUGAUGCAACUGUUUAGUGUGAAAAAGAGAAAAAGAGAAGAAGGUGAGAAGAGAAGAGGGAGUAUCCAUACAAAAUAUUUUGUUUCUUUUUCUCAUUACAAAAAUAGUGUUGGUUCUGCUGCCUAAAAUUUAAGGGUUUUUAAAAACUUUUUUUUAUAUAAGUUAUCCUUCAAAGCAAUAAUAAGGGAUAUUUGUUGUAGUGAUAGAACUUUAGUGAAACGACCCAUUAGUUAAUGAUGGUUGAUUAACUCGGUCUAAAAAGUUUAGCUAGUUAAUCUAGGAUCAUUGGAGUUCAUGAUCUGUAGGUCCAUUAGGUUCCCUCGCUACCGCAUAAGAAAUCAACUUAGAACAUUAUGAUGGAAUAAUUCAAAUUGUUCAAAUUAAGUAAAGAGAGAGAAACCAACGAAUAAAUUUGAUAUAGUCCUCGGUUAUAAAGUUUAAGAUAGAGUUUUAUGUUUAAAUGUGAUUAUAAUAUUAAAAAUAUGAAUACAGAUUCAUAUUAAGAAGCUCAGAAUUGAGAAGUCAAAUUUUGACAAGUUUUAUAUUCAAGUAUGAUUUGAAUUUUGAAGAAAUAAAUGCAUAUUCAUGCUCGGAAGGUCGAAAUUAGUCGAAACGAACAAAAUGGUAAAAAGUCAAAAUGCUGACUUUACUUGAAAAAGUCAAACUUUGAAUUUGAUUUAAAUAUCAAAUUACCAUAUUGCCCAAAGACUAAUUUAAUCAACAACACUUGUUGAGAUUUAACAAGCUUAUUCCUAUCAUGUGAUAUACAAGUGACUUAUUACAUGCAAGACACCUAACCUAAUAAUAGUUAGUGGAAUGCUAACUGUUGAGAUAAAGGAAUCUCAUUACACGCAUGUAGUUUGCUUGAAAAAAGGAUUUGUGCAAAUGGAAAAGAGGACUCUUGUUUUUCGGGUGAGAUAAUUAUUUUGUAAUUAGGAAUUACAAAAUAAACCAAAAAACUCCUUUUUCCCUUCACAAAAUCUCAAAAGAAAAGUUCUUCCUAAAAAAAUUUCAUCUCUUUCUAAUUCCUUCACCAAACGGGUUCCACAACCCAGUUCUAAGUUCGGAGAACAGCGGAUCAACACUAAUGGUAGUUCUGACUUCAAGUUUGUAAGAAUGUUGCAAAGAGUUCGUGAGGAUAUUACAAAGAUAAAAAAACAUCAAAUGUGAGUUUUUCUAUUAACUCUAUAUUCAAUUUAAUUAGAGUUGUAAUGCAUGUUAAUUACUAAAACGUUUAGUUGCAAUUAGAGUAAAAUCAUAUCCUUAUUCCAUUGCGCAUGUCUACCCUGAAUUUCUGAAUUUUGAAAGUUUUAAGACUAAAUUUAUGAUUUUAAAACUAAAGUUUAAAAAUCAUAUAAAUACACAAUACACAAUUCAAAGACAAGUUAUCAUUUAACUUUUUAAAAAGGGGGUUUGAACCUAAGAACAAUAUUAUCAAACUAGAUUUAUAUAGCUUUGAAAGAGUUACUAUAGUUUAGGAUUUAGGAUGCAUGGACUUUUAGUAUUUAGUAUAUGUACUAACGGGUGUAAAAAUAUAGUAUAUUUAGGUUAAUUUUUAUAAAUAUAAUAAAAAAAAUAUAUUUAUGACUAGUGUAACAAAAUGAACAAAUCCAUGAAAUGAAUAUUCCUUUUAAAUAUUUUAGGUUUGUCAUUCUUUUUCAUGUCUUUCUUCUUUUUAUCGUCUUUCUUCUGUUCGUCGUCUUUCUUCUCUUCCUCUUUUGCGAUAUUUUUGUGUUUCUUCUCAAUCUAAAUUAUCGUCUUUCUUCUCUUCCUCCUUUGCAAUAUUUUUGUCUUUCUUCUCAAUCUAAAUUAUUGUGUACAAAAAAAUUUUGAAAAAAAAAUCAUUGAGAUUUGACUAUCCAAAUUUAAACGAUAAACGAUCAAAUCUAAGUGAUCCAAAAUUUUCUUGAAAAAAAUCGUUUACAUUUGGCUACGAUAAAAUAUAAAUGAUCGUGUACUAAAUUUAAACGAUUAUGUACCAAAAAAUCUUUAAAAAAAUCUUCAGAUUUGGCUAUUUAAAUUUAAAUGAUUAAAUCUAUACGAUCUUACUAAAAUCUAAAUGAUUUUAAAACAAACUUAAAUGAUUUUGUACUAAGUCUGAACAAUCUUAUACGACUAUGGUAUUCAAUAUUAUAAACAAUCUAAAUGAUAAUGGUUCAGGAUUGUAAGAAAAAAAUGAGAGAAAAAAUUCUAGAAGAGAAAAUGAAGAAACUACGAAUAAAAAAAAGAGAAUAUAAAUAUAUAUAUAUAUAUAUGAAGAAGAUGUACAUAAAUUCAAUUCUCGUCACAGAAAAUUAAAAACCAACUAUAAAGUUUAUAAGAAAGCAACGAUGGCAUGAGUUUAAUUUGUUAUAGAGAUGGGUCAAUAUUUUGGCGUUUUAUAAUGUAAAUUAACAGUUAUUUUAGGGUUUUAUAUUCUCAAAAUAAGUUCCAACUAAACAAGGGAAGUUUCGUUAUUAUUUAAAUUUAAACUUUGAAAAAAAAAAACAAUUACCAUUAGCCUUAUUGCAUAAUUUAAGACAUUGAAAGCAUAAAAGAGAACACGGUGGCCGGAGCAGAUAAAACGAUGACCAUAAAAGGAAGCCGCGGCGGUGUUUUGAGUUACUGUGGAAUCUUGUUCAGCUUACAAUAUGCAUAUUCACUGUACUUCUUAGUUUUAUAUCUUGCCGGAAUUUUCUCAUCGACUAAUUUCGGAUGAGGCCCAACUUCAAACUCCGGCGGUGGCUCCAAGAACACCGGCCACGAUAUCCUCGUUUUCUCCUUGUUCACAGUCGUCCUAUGAAGCACACUCUUGUACUUUCCAUUACUCAGAAUCUGCCCCCACAACACAACAAACUUUUAAUUCAGCCAUUUCCGACGCAACUCAAAAUUUCAGACAUCUCUUGAAUUCAAGAAACACUUUACCUCAAUUUGAUCUCCGAUAUGGAUGACAAGGGCGUUAGGAAUGUAAUUAACAUCAUACCAAUGCCCAUCUCUAAACGCCUGAAGUCCUUGAACUUCAUUCGGCACAAGAAUCGUAAUGGCUGACAUGUCUGUAUGAGCAGGGACUCCAAGAGCCAGAUCAGGGCGUGGACAUGGCGGAUAGUAAUUGAUUUUCAGUAAAUACACCAAUUCAUCUCCACCCACUCGCUCUUUUAGUUCAUGCCCUUCAAGCCCCAAACCCAGCGACAGGCUUCUGAACAGCUUCUCAACAACCCCAUGUAAAUGCUUUCUGUACUCUUCAUUCGCUGCCCUAUAUUCUCGAACACACGUGCACCCAAAAACAAAACUGAGUACAAUAACCAAUUAUUAAGAAAAGAACUCGGAGGAACUUAUUGAUUUCGUUACCUGUAAGAAGGGGGAUUUUGAGGCCAGAAAUUGUAAUUAAUGGAAGAAGGAGGCCAAAUGAUGUGGAACAAAUGGUCGACCCAACCUCUUUUUCCAUCGAUUUCUUUUUGGAGAUUAGUUCCGUAGCCUUCUACGGAUUUGGAAGCAGGGGGUUUGGCGUAUAUCUCUUUCAUCUCAGGUGGGAGCUGGAAGAAUUCCUUCCCCACGGCUUGCAAAUGGGUUAUUGCUUCAUUUGGGAUCUGGUGGUUAAUGAUUUGAAACAUGCCCCAAUUGAGUGAAGCGUCGUGAAUGGCUGUGAGAACAGAAUCGUCAUCUGGGUUGGUGAAAUCGAUGACAGGGACAGCAAGGACUUGGCCUUUGACGGUAGUGAUUCCGGGCUGUUCGGUGUCCGGACGGACAAACUGGGAGGGGAGAGUGCCGGAGAAAAGAAGAGAGGAAGCAACUUCUUGGACUCUCCCAACCUCCAUUUUUGUUUUCGGUGAGGAGAGAAGGAAUUUAGAAGCUCAAUUAAUACAAUGAAAAUUGAAGAGAGUAGAGAAGGUAGAAGGUUGCUUUCAGUAGAUACGGUUUAACAAACUUCCACUUUUGUGCGUGUUUUCACAACAGAAUUCAAGCGCUGCAACCCUCUUCCGUUCCUACUCAGCAUGCGCCUCUUAUGAAUAUUGGUGAGCAAAAGAGUGAUGCCUAAACAUACAUAAUUUUAAAAAUACUAAUGCCUGUGUUUGGGACAAUCACCUCUUAAUAAUUAAAAUUUAUAUUUGGAUUCAACAUUUUCUACUUUUCUAUAUUACUAACCCUUCCUUUUUCUAAAAAAGUUUAAGAAGUUAUUUUAAAUAUUAUGGUUUGAAAUCCCAAUAAUUAUUUUAAAUUAUUAUUUUAUUUGGAACUGCAAAAAUCAAAAUUAAUGUAUUUAAAAUUUCAGUUUGGAUGCUAAUUAGAAACAAUUAAUAAUUUAGUAAUAUAGGCUUUUAUUACUAAUGUGUUAAUUAAAAAGUAGAAAAUGAUAACAUUAAUUAUGUAAUUUAUUUUGAAAUAUCAAUAAAUCGUGCAAAAUCCGACCAUUUUGGCUUUUAAGUUUUUAAGUAAAAAUUAUUCACUUUCUUGCUAUAACAAAUAACCAAAUUCAUUUGAAAUCCUGAAUAUUGAAAUUCUUCAAAAUUAUGAUUUUCCAAAUAUAGCGUAAAUGUAUUUCAUGUUUUUAUAAUUUUCAAUCCAACUCUCUUUUCCACUUUUUUAAUGUUUCUAUCAUUUUUCUUUUGUCCUCGUAUCUCACUCAUUUUUCGAUUAUAGUUUGUUACAUCGUAAAGUCUUUCUUACCUCUUUUUCUAAUAUUUUAAUUAUUUUUUAUGUGUGAUAAGAGUAGGAUUCAUAGAGGUAAUGUAUCUCAGGAUGCAUGAAAGUGCCCAAAUUCAAAGAAUUUUGUGGUUUCAAUUCCAUCUAUGUUUGUGAUUUUUCAUUUAUGAAAAUGUUGAUAAAAUGUAUGAUUUAUAAAAAUAAUGUGAAAAACUAAAAAAUUCAAAUGUAUUGUUUAAAUUAAUUAAAUAAACAUUUUAUGAUUUUUACAACUAAGUUGUUUAUUAUCUAUUGUUCACAUGAGAUUUUUAGAGAAAUAUUGUAACACCCCUCCUCAAAUCCCCCUCUCUCCCUACCCGGGUGCAAGAGCUGGCAGACAUUACCAUAUUGACAACACUCUCCAACCAACUAACUAACUAAACAGUGAUAACUUGUAGAAAUACAAGUUAUUACAGCUUUUUAGGUAGAAUAAUGAAGUCUUUAACGUAUGAAAAAAGAAGAAAACGCAUAGUAAAAUAAAUAAAAUAACUUGGUCACACAAUAUGGAAUAGAAAAGAGCUUUAUGCCUAUUUAUCACAUUUUUCAUGUGUUUUUAUGCUGGGUUUUAAGCGAAAAUAGAAGAGUAGCCCAACGACAAAACAUCACGCAAGGAGACACGCGACCAAAAGAGUGAAGUUAUGUGAGACCCGAGUUUGGAAUAGAAGGAUAAUUUUUAUUAGGAAUUCUGAUUAAUAUGAUUUUUGGAAGGAAGCGUUUUAAAGUGUUUUUAAGUGUUUUGAUGGUUCGCACAUCAUCUCCAACUACCGCUCUUGUCUUCUAGUGCUUCUUCGUGUGAUAAAUUUGUUCUUUGCCUAGAGACGUUAAUCGCCAAAUGAGUUCAUGAUUGUAGUCCUUGCGUGAAAUGAUUCCUACGGUUCACUAGUUUCUUUCUUUAUUCAAUAUUAAAAUAGCGUGAAACAGACAUAACUCUUAUGUAAAAUAUAUUUUCAAGUACCUCUACGUUUACAACACAAGUUACGUGUUCUAAUUAUUUUCUUGUGUGUUUUAACCUCAUUAUUCUAAUACAAAGAGCUAUAAUAACGAGUAUUUAUACACGCUAUUAGUGAUAAAAUAACUACAUUAACUUGUUUAGUUUUCUUUACAAUAGCUAUGUGAACACAGACUUGUCCAUAUUUUGUUAUGUGAUGUUUUUGUUUAAUUUUAUUUCCAUAGGAUGACUUCAUUUUUUUGUAGAUGAGACUUCAAAACAAAGUUGUUCUAGUCCAAUGUUAGGAAAAAAAAAAAAACUCAGUUAAACCAGUCACAUCAGUAUGGGAACAUUUUAUAAAAGUAGAAGGAUUUGAUCCUAAAUAACCUAGGGCUGCUUGUAAACACUGUGCGACUUCAUAUGCUUGUGAUUCCAAAAGAAAUGGUACAACUAAUCUAAAAUGACAUUUAGAGAAACAUAAGAAGUAUGCAAAUCCAUUAGAAGAUAAUGUUGAAGGAGAGGGAGAUUCUGAGAGUAGUUUGAUGGCUACAUCCUUCACUUAAGAAAAUUGUAGAACAAUGCUUUUUAGUAUGGUUAUAUUGGAUGAAUUGUCAUUUCAGUUUGUAGAAAGUGAAGGAUUUCAUCAAUUUUGUCGAGCAUUAAAUCCAAAAUUGUGAUUCCAUCAAGAGCAAUCCUUGCAAAGGAUUGUUUUGAAAUGUAUAUGGGGGAGAAAAAAAAGUUAAAUAGUACAUUAACUCAAAGUGGGAAAAGAGAGUUUGUUUAACAAUGGAUACAUGUACUUCUGUGCAAAAUAUUAAUUAUAUGGUUAUAAUGGCUUAUUUUAUUCAGGAUGAUUGGAACUUGUGCAAAAGAAUUUUGAACUUUUAUCAAAUAGCUAAUCAUAAAAGAGAUACAAUAGAAAGAGUCAUUGAAAAGUGCUUAGAAGGUUGGGGUAUUGAUAGGCUCUUUAUUGUAUCAGUUGAUCAUGUAAGCUCAAAUUAUGUAGCCAUUAAUUGCAUAUUUGGUUAAAAAGUUUAGAGGCAGAAAUGGGUUGGUGUUGGACGGUGAAUUUAUUCACGUUAGAUGUUGUGCUCAUAUUCUUAAUUUAACUGUUAGUGAUGCCUUGAAAUAUUUGCAUGUGUCUAUCCUUCGAAAAAGAAAUGUUGUGAAGUAUGUUAGGUCAUCUCCUGCUAGACUGCAAAUAUUUAAAGAUUUUGCUAAAGAAGACAAGAUGUCAACAAAAAAUUGUCUUAUGAUGGAAGUUCCAACACGAUGGAAUUCUACUUUCAUUGUGUUGGAUGGAGCAAUUAAGUGUCAAAAGAGGUUUGAAAGAUUCGGCGGACAUGACCCUAGUUAUUUGCAAAAGGAUGAUAUUCCUACUGUUAAAAAAUGGGUUAAUGCAAAAGUGUUUGUAAAGUUCCUAAGGACUUUUUCAGAGGUAACAAUGAAGUUUUUUUGCAUCUAUGUAUGUGACUUCCAAACAUAUUUUUUCAUGAACUUUGUUUGAUCCAAGAAAUAAUUUGUGAAUACUUGUUAUAUGAGAAUGCAUUAUUGAGUCAGAUGACAUUAAACAUGCAGACAAAAUUUGAUCAACAAGUAUUGGGGUAUAACUAAAAUUGAGAAGACCAAUUUAUUAUUAUAUGUUUAUGUAGUUCUUGACCCUAGGUACAAGUUAGCUUAUGUAAAUUAUUAUUUUAAUAAAUUUUUGGAGGAAGAUUGUGCAAAAAAAAGGGUGAAUAAGGUUGAAGAGGCAUUUCAUCGAUUAUGUAAUGAUUAUUAUAUGAGAAUGUCAAUGUACAAUCAUGUACAUCUAUCGAAGGAUUUGGCUUUCAAAGUCAAAAUGAAAUAGCUUCUAUCUCAUCUAAUGGAUCUUAUAAGCCACAUGUUCUUGUUCAUAAAUAGAUUUAAACGAAGUAACAAAUUGUGUCUAGAUGAUGUUAAAACAGAGGUGACUCGUGAUCUAGACGAGGCUCAUAUAGAAGAUGAAUACUUAGAUUUGUUAAAUUGGUGGAAGGUGAAUUCCUCUCGACUUAAGAUCAUUAGCUAAGUAGCCAAGGACAUCUACAGUAUUCCUAUAUCAACCGUGCCUUUUGAGUCCUCCUUUAGCACUGAAGGACGGAUGUUAGAUUCUUUCCGAGGUUCAAUAACUCCUCAAAAUGCAGAGGCACUCAUUUGUGCUCAGAAUUCGAUUCAAUCUAAACUUUUGGAUAUGACAUGAUAGAAAAAAUUGAUAGGACUGAAGAAAUUGACGAAGAUAAUUUUUUUUCGAGGUAAGCACUUAAAAUUUUAAAUUGUCUCAUUUAAGCUAACAGUUUGUCAUUCUGAAUUUUUUAUCUAAAAUUCAUAAAUAAAAUUCAUAAACAUAGGAAAUGAGAUGAAAGUUGCAUUUGAAAAUCUUAAUUAUGACUCUAUCGUCUAAAUCCCUACUUUCAAAUAUUUGUUUAUAUUUUUAUGUUUUAAAUGGUUAACUUGUUAAAUAUUGAAUCUUGCUUUUCUCUAGAGUAUUGAUGCACAUUGACCGCUGCCCUUGUGUUGUGUUGGCUACAUCACUUUUUGCACUAAAGACUCUGCCAAUGCUGCCAUGACCGCUGCUAUGAUCAUUCUUGUUGAGUAGAGACAUAUGUACCAAUUUUAGUCUAAUUUCUACUGUUAUCUACAAAUCUUGUAAAAAAUCUCAACACCCAUCUGAAUUUAGGUCCUGAUUUUGCGUCCAAAUAUCUAUAAUUAUCUAGAGCUUAAGAUUGAAUUUGGAUUUGCUGGUCUGAUACUUAUCAUUCUGAAUGAUGAAAUUGAGUACAAUUCCAUAGGUUCAGGUACUAUGGGAGAAUUAUCCUCAAGUCCAAUGGGGACAAGGGAUUAACAUUGGUGUUAACAAGAAUAAGGAAUUAUCUUCAAAGCUCUUGCAAGCAGAGGUGCCACUAAGCAGACAUGGAAGAAGCAAAUAAGCUUGCUUCAAUCAUUGUCAACCCUAAAAGAAGCAACGCAGUUCUUCAAGGUCAUAUGUGCCUUUCAGAGGAAGGGAAGUUGUUGCUUAUGAUGGUAUUCUCUAAGUCCACAAAUUGCUUCAUUUGUUUUCAUCUUGUCGUAUUCUUUUGUUAAAUAGGUAAUGAGUUAUAUUAACCUAUAUUAAAUGUUCAAACUGGAACUAUUUAUGGUUGAUUUGCAUGGAUAAACAUAACGUAUUGGAUUUUUGUUAGGAUCAAUGUUUGUGGAGAUUUUUAAUUUCUCUCUUAUUAGGUGAAUUGUAAGAGAGAAGGGUUGUAAAAAAAAAGACAGAAGCUACUCUUUACUGAUGUGUGAAUGUAAGUUUGUAAUUGUAAUGUUGAGUUUUUCUUUCAGAAAAAAGUUUGCAAUUCAAUAACAAGAAGAAAGAAAGGAAGAAAUGAAAAGAGGAAAAGAGAAGGGAAAAAAAUGACUCGACUCGACUGUCCGUACAUUUCGAGUUGGAUCGAGUUUGAAGGAAAACUGAUCCGACCCAGCCCAAUUAUACCUCUAAUAACAACUCACUCCACGCCCCAAAUGCUCCUUCAAGUGGUUUUCUUUCCUAAUUCGAAACUUUGGAAUGUUAUGCUUCAACCAAUUUGAUGACUACCAAACGAGAUUUAUGCUAACAGAGUUGUUCAUGAAAAAACAUUAAUAAAAUAAUAAAAUGUAGGGAUUUUAAGGACCAUAUUGAAUAAUUGAAGAGAGUGAGAAAAGAGGGAUUAUUUGAAAUAGUUAAAGAAGAAAUUAUACAGACUAAAGUAGUGUUUGGUAAAUUAAAAUAAUGUAUUUUCUAAAAAUUCAUUUAUAAAAUAAUCUAUUUUGGAGAAAUCUUUAAAAACCAAACUCACAUGUAAACACUUGUAAAAAUAUCUAACAAAACAUUAAUAGUUUAAAUUUUAAAUUCAUUUUCAAAAAAGUGUUUAAAAAGAAAUAUAUGAUUGAAAAACAUUUUGAUUUUAGUUCAAUCCAGAGUGAAUCUAAGUAAAAAAGAGGAUAAUUAUUGAAGUAAAGCAUGCAUGGAAGGAAGAAAUUGAAAAGGGGACGUGGGGAAAGUCACACUAUAGAAAGUAAGGAACAUGAAAUUUUUUUAUUUUUUUUCAAGCAGCUGUUUGGUUGUUUAAGAUCGUGAAAACAAUCAAUAGAUAUUGAAAAGUCAAAUAUAAAUGAUCGUGUAUCAAAUUUGUUUAAAAACAUCGUUUAGAUUUGAAUAGAAAAAUUUAAACGAUCAAAUCUACAGGAUCUGUGUACCAACCAAAAAAUCAUGAAAUAAAUGGCUAUCCAACUUUAAACGAUCAAAUCUAAACUACUAUAUAUAUACAUGAUUUGGCUAUCCAAAUUUAAACGAUCAUCUACCAAAUCUAAACAUCAUUUACUAAAUUUAAAGUAUUAAAUGUAAACGAUCUUGUAACAAAAGUAGUCAAAUCUAAACAAUCGUUUACUAAAUAUAUUAUAAUUCGCGCUUGCAUGUCAAUUAAUUAUGGGGCAUUUUUGUAUUUUUUUUAUUGCGGAUCAAUGGACUUUUUUCAUUUUUUAAAAUGCUCUAUACUGGUAAAUAUUUUUAUUUACCACUUUGUUAUAUUUUUUAAAAGUCCAUUUUUCUUAAAGUUAAACAUGUUUGUUUCCUCUUAAUUUACACCUUUACUAACUAAAAAUAGUUAAAUGCUCACCCAAAUUUUAGAAAUAAAAAAAAAAAAAUUUAAAAAUUCUUUUUCUCAUUAUUCAAACUUUGAUUUGAUUUUUGAACAUAUUUGUAAAAAGUAAAUGAUUGUUUAUAGUCUCAAUUUUUCAAAAUGAUAAACCAAUGACACACUAAGCAUUUUAUUGGAUACUUUGACCUAAACAAACUUCAAAAUUUCUUUUUGAUCAAAGUUAUUGAACCAUAGUGAUAAACAACUAACAUUAGUUUAACUUUAAAAAAAAAAUAGAAGGAAGUUAUUCAAUUUAAUUAAGGUUUUCAUCUACCUAAGUUCAUUCUAUAAAGUUUCAUCCACAACCAAACUUUGUAAAAUCAAGUUGCAAAAUCAAACUUGUUAUCCUAAUUAAUAAUGAUGUACAAAAGUUGACCCAAAAUUACAUUAAAGACAAUUCAAGACUUAAAUGUACUAUCUAAUCUAGUCUAAUCUAAUCUAUAAGAUGAGUUGAUAUUCUUAAAUGUUUAUUUAAGUGUGCAACUCAACAAAUGAAUUGUAAGAGUUAUUUAUAAAGUUCUUGGCUAAGCUUGGCAUGAAAAAAACUCAAGGUAAGGGAAAAUUUGAAGUGUAUGCAAAUUUUUCAUACCUUUAUUUAACAAGGUUUUCUCCCAUGGUAUAUUUUGAUUUAUGCAUUUUUUAACAUGAGCUCGUCCUAAUUUUAAAAAAUCCUUUACACCUUUCCAACUAAUAAGUUUCUUUAUCAUCAUUAAUUUUAUAUUAUUAUUAAAAAAAUUUACUUUUGAUCUCUAAGGUUUGAACUUCUAUGAAGUUAAAAAAACAACACGUUUUAGUUCUUAAAAUUUAAUGAUAGUUGUAAAAGAUCAUUCACUAAUUAUGAAUGAUGUGGCAGUGGUUAGAUAUUUGAAUUGGAAAAUAAUAUUAAUUUUUGAAGUGACAUGGCCAUCUUGUCCUCAUCUCCCUCGAGCUCUCUACCUAUGGCCUCUAGUUUCGUCUAAAAAAUUGUUUUGACAAAAUACAACUUUUCUUUGUUACACACCUUAAUGAUGGCAUUUAAUGUCUCAAAUGGGCUUUUAUUCCAACAAAUGUGAUGAAAUAGAGGAAUCUUCUUCAAGAAAUUAUGUGAUAAAAACUUCUUCAAAAAGUACAUGUGUUCUACAGUGGGUUUAGUCUGAUCAAAUAUAAUCAAUCUUAGUUAGUUAGAGUUAGAAGGGAACUUAAAAAUCUAAACGUAACCGAUGACUAAUUUCCAAAAAGGAUAGAACAAAAGUGGAACAAAAUCGUCUCCAAUAGGCUUUAUGUGGCUUCUAUCAUAAUUGGGUUCUGAUUUGUACUUGGAGCAUAGUUGGUUUUUGGGUCUUACGAAGCUGCACAAGCACGGGUAGCAUUUUCCAAACUUCCUGCUUCUGCUUUUCAAAUAUUACUCAGCCGUCGUUGAACUAAAGGAGUUCCUCUUCUAAUUUGUUCAUAUGGAAGCUCAAGAAAUAAGGGGACUUCAAUUCGUUCAUCACCUGGCUAGUGAUGGUUCUCGUUCUUUAAUGGUUGGCAACGAUGCCAUGGAGGUGGAAGGUUGGCACAAGUGGCACACAUUGUUGAAAUUUAUGUCUUAGAACUCGUAGUUUGCAAUCAUAUUCUAUUCAAUAAAGUCGUUAUUGAUACUAUAAUCUUAAAGCCAAUAAAAUAAGGACUUGAGACUCUUAUUAAGUAAACUUAACUUUAUGUAAAGACAUAAACUUGGAUCAAGUUUUAGCAUAUAGCCUAAAUAGUGUAUAAUAUACGAAUACGGUUUUGCACCUUAUUUUGGAAAAGUUAUGGAUGUGGUACACUUUAUAGUUAGCAAAUGAUGUGAUCAUGUAUCGUUCAUGUAGAGACAUGAAAUUGGGAUCAUCCUAUGUAAAGAGUUUACCUAAGACUGAAACCAUGAAAUAGUUAGACACUUUUAAGUUAUAACACCAUUAACUUUGUAAAAUUGAUUAUUUUGCGUAUAGAUAUCUCAUAUAACUUAAUCUUAAUCUUGAGCUAACUAUGAACAUUGCAUACCAUUUCCAUAGUUUGUAAAGAGUUUUAUCCAAUUUUCUGUAAAUAACCCUGUUAAGAACAAAACAUGUAGACAACAUUGCUUCUCUCCACAUAUUAUCAUAUAAUCCAAAACUCAAUAACAUAGCAUUCAUUAUUUCCUUAAGGGUUCUAUUUUUCCGCUCUACUAUACCAUUUUGUUGUAGUGAAUAAGGGGCAGUAAAUUCAUGAAUAAUACCAUUUGAUUCACAAAAUUCCUUAAGAAAUUUAUCACUCUAUUCACUACCUCUAUUUCUGCCUUCAAUUUCAAAAAUAUGCUAUCAGCUUCAUCUUUUGUUUUUAUGAGAUAAAUUUUAGUAAAUCUAGAAAAAUCAUUAACAAAAUAUACAUAAUAUUUUUUUUCACCUCUACUAAAGUGUCUUUUAAAUCGGCUAGAUCAGAAUUAAUUAAUUUUAACAAUUAUGUACUAGUUUCAACAUAUUUGAAAGGUUUCUUAACAUACUUUCUACAUAAACAGGUCAUUCACCAGUUCCAUGUGAUUUAUUUGCAUUACUUAUUCUUAAUUCUUUAAGUUUCCUAAUUGAUGCAAAUUUUACAUGACCUAGUGUACCAUGCCACAUAUCAAUAGAUUCAACUAUGUAAGUAAAACUAGAAGCAUUUGCAUUCAUCAAGACAGUAUUGAGUAAAACAAACCAUUAGAUAGAUAUCCCUUAUCAAUAAAGUCUCCAUUUUUGGUGAGGACAACCUUGUCACCUUCCAAUACAAUCUUAAUACCUACUUGAUUCAAUAUACUCUCAGACAUCAGGUUCCUACAUAGGGAAGAAACAUACAAAAUAUUGCUCAUAGAUAAAUUUUUUCCAUAAGUUAAUUUUACAAAUAACCUUUCCUUUCAUGUGUACUCCUACAGUAGUUGAGUUUCCCAUGCAUACGCAUUCCUCAUAGUCAUGGAGAAGUUCUCAAUUGGUGCAAAAGUGUCUUGAAGCUCUAGUAUCGAGAAUCUAGUCCGUCUUAUUUUCAAUCAGAUUGACCUUCGCAAUAGCUACUAUGACAUCGUCAUCUUGUGCAGCAAGAUUGGCUUGUGGUACAGGUUUCUGGUUUGAUCUCCCUUUCCUUUGAUGACAUUGAUAAGAUUUGUGUCCUUCCUUCCCAUAGACAUAGCAAAUCAACUUCUUCUUCUCAAUUUUUCUCGAUAACCUUGAAUUGUCCCUUCCUUUGUGAGUUUUUCCCAUUCUGUCUUUUAACCUAAGGACCUGUCUCUGUUAACAACAGAAGAUUCAACGAGGUUAGAAUCAACAGAAUUUAGAUUUGUAGAAGCUAGCUUAUCUUUCAAUCUAUUGACUUUUUCUUUGCGCAUAUUGUUGAUCAACUCCUAAAGUUUCAAGUCCCUCUUUUUGUGCUUCAAAUGAUUUUUGUAUCCAUUCCAUGAAGGAGAAAAUUUCUAAGUAGUACAUUCACUUGGAGUACUGGAGUAAUUUACACAUCUUCAUUCCUUCGGGCCUCGGCUAGAACAUUUGCCACCAAGAUUUCAUAUUCAUGAAUUUUGUUGUCCGUCUUCUGAAACUGCAACCAUUUUUCAAAAACAUACUUUUUUUUGCUUGCAUCAUCUCCACCAUAUCGAGAUUCCAAAAUGCUCCAAAUAUCCUUGGCAUAUUUCUAAACCGCUAACAUCUCAAACAUUGGAUCUGAUAUGUGGUUCAACAGAUGCCCGCAAAAUGUCUUGUUAUCCUUUGCACAUUUCUCAAGAUCAGAUGUGGAUACUUGCUUCACUUAGUCAAUGGCAGGGGACCCGUGGAUGAUUCUAGAUCAGAAGUAGGCACUGGAAUGGUCACUGGUGGAUCAAACAGUGGAUCGAUGGUAAGAACAUAGUCGACUUCUAGCUACUCGAAGAAGAUCAAUAAUUUUUAGGACCAUCGAUAGUAAUUUGUUUCAUCAAGCGGUUUGACUUUAGACCAGAUCCGAAAGAACUUUGUUGGAGGUCUUGAUCGACAUUGUUAUAAUUGCUUUCAGAUUGUAGGAAAAAUAGUCAAUUAGGACCGACUGAGGUGCUAAUCAUGUUGUUGGUUGCUCUCCAAGGUUAACACAACUUCCAUACUCAAACGUGCACUCUUCAAAAUAGGGAAUAGAAACAAAAACAAAAUUGGUUAGAACAAUAGGAAUGUACUUGAGGGCGGAAUAGAGAUGUGAACAAAGAUGGAACUGGGAGAAGAGCGACAGAGAAGAGAGAAUUAUUUCGGUGGUGAAGAAUGACAAAAUGAAGCCUCAUUAUAUAAGGGAGAUGGGUUAACUGAAGCCCGAAAAGAAGGUAACAAAACUUACAUUUUAUUCAAGCAAGUGCAAUUAUCCAAUCAAACAACAAAAUGCAUGUGGUGACAAGAUUAUACUAUCACUCUCAACUUAUUUUGUGUUUGUUAUAAAGUUUCUUAGUAUUUAAACCAUUUUUCCUCAUCUAAAUAUUUUAAUGUGGGAUAAAGAUAUCAAGGUUUUCUUAACUUUGUUUAUGGGCUUAGACCCAGGAGUCAUUUCCAAUAGGUAGCACUUGAAAUUCCCAUUAAUCCAACCAACACUUCGCUCGUCUAUGGCUCUCCCUUUCUGAUUUUUCUGCGUCAAUAACUCCAUCCUUCAUCAUUCCAUGCGUCUGCUAGUUUCUAUCGUUGGUCAACUUCAAUUUUGGCUACUUCAGUUAACUCAAUUCUUUUUUAAGCCUCACAUUUUGCAACCAAAAAACUGCAUUUGAAGCAAUUAAUCUUCAAAUUGGUACUAAAACAAUGAACAUAUACUUUUUUCUUAGGUAAACUUUCGUAUGGUUCGCGAAAUUUUUAUGCUCUUUCUUUAAUUAUUAUGAGAUAUUUCAUGGUGUGUAGAUUACAUUUUCAAGUCUUUAGCUUAAAAAAUAAGUUAUUCCGAAAAAAACUAAAGUGUUUGGAAGUCACUCAAAAUAGCAUUUUACAUGUAUUUUAAAAUAUUGAGAAAAAGUUUAAACAAAAAUGAGUUUCUUGAAAAACAUUUUUUUCAAUUCCAAUCAAACCCAACAAAAAUAUUAUAAGGGUUGGAUUGGAUACUAUAUACGGAUCGAGGUUUAUUACCAACUCUCCAAUUGUUUCACCAACAAUUAGAGAGGUUUAUCACCUCGUUAUUUAUAUCAACUCAAAUUUCUUACUAAAAUAUUUGUAUAAACUCUUCCAAUUGCUUUCCUAUAAUUAUUACCUAACUCAACUCAACUAACUCUUUAUUUUUAUCACUAACCAAAAAUCCCCCAAAGAAAUAGAAAAGCAUAUGAAAGGCAUCUCAAAACUAUACCUCUAACCCUUUUUUAAAAAUAUUAACAUAAAAAAUCAGUUACAAGCAUCUUUUAUAAUAUAUAUAUAUAUAUAUUAAAUAAUUAACAUUCGGUCCUAUAGUUCUGAAUAGAUAAGAUGUAAGACUAAAGGUAUUUUAACCAAAAUAAAAUCAUGGCGAGGUUUGAUUAAAAGUGAUAGUAUUAUAUUAUCUUUAAAAUGACCAACACUUGCGAAAAAAAAUAGUUUACAACAUUAUCUUAAAAAAUCAAGAUGAGAUGAGAUUAUGAGAGAACUCAUUGAUUUAUGAAGGAUUUACGUUUUACUUUGACAUAAAAUAUAUUCGCACUUAACAUUCCAUCAACAUUUACACCACGUCUCACAGUUUUAAAUUGAAAUAAGAUUGUCUAGAGAGACAGCUUUAUGUAGACGAACCAUGGAAGCAGCCAU
rnacentral:lncRNA from 1 species